UCUCUCUCUCUAAAACUAAGUCAUGAAUCCAGACCUGGACUUCUUCUUCUCCUUCGCCACCCGUACGCAUAUAUAUAUAUGUCCGUAAAAACCCACAGCAAGUCACCGAAAACACCGCAGGAUAGGUUGUUCAACAUCGCUUCAAUCUUCUCUCACCGGAAGCUGACAUUCUGCUGGCAUUCCAAGAAUGGGAAACUGUUGCAGAGCUGGAUCUUCAUCAUCAACGAUCUGGGCCGGCGAUGACUGGAACUCACUGCCUCGUGACGGAGGAGAAGGCAAGAAGAGGCUUCUUGAUGAUGCUGAUGGGACGAAAGUUUCUUCUUCUUCUUCUUCUUCUUCAAGCAGGAGAGAGAUCAAGAUCCAGAUCAGUAAGGAGGAGCUAGAGAAGUUGGUGCAGCAAAUCGAGGCUCAAGGACUGUCUCUAGAGCAAGUCCUGCCUCUUCUGAUUAACAAGAACACUUUUGAUCGACGUGGGUCGGGUUUCGCGAAGCACGGCUGUCAUCGUUCAUGGAGACCGGCUUUGCAAAGUAUUCCGGAGGUCAUCUAGAAGAAGUUUUCUGGUCCUUUUCUCAUUCUUUUGUUCUUUCUAUGUACAUGGGGGCAAGACAUAGGUUUUGGCUUUUUUUUUUUCUUUCUUCUUCUCGAUAUAUGACAAUUUUCAUAGAAGUAGUUGCAUAAUCUCCUCUAGUAUUAGGUUAUGUUUGGUUUGUGAAAAUAUACUUUGACACAAUAUAUGUGAUGAUGCUACACAUGAUUUUAUUGGGGAGAUAUCUAUUUGCAUCCAAAGAUGUAUCCUUGUAACUAGAAAGGAUAAAUCAUAGUGUUGUGGUUUCUUCCUUUACUUCAGCUGGAUUGAGUGUUGGUUUGCAAAAGAUCUAAUAAUCACUCCGAGAAUUACAGAGUUAUAAUUACUUAACCACUCAGCUAUUUCACGGUUUUAGUACGCACAAACCCACCGUGUUUAGUUUGGUGUGAUUACUCAAUAAGGUAAAUUGCGGAGAACUACCUGCCUGCUUCCAAACGCUCAAGCCUUCCUUGAGACAAGCAAUCCAAAUUUGAUGUACUGCCCGAAUCACCGAGUGAAGCCCUUGAAGAAGAAGCUUUGAUAUUCAAACAGCUUAUGGACUUUUUUGGUACUGCUACAGAACAACUGAAAAGCAAAAACCGCCGCCUGAAGAAUUUGUAUGUCAUUACCCACGUUGAAACUGACUUCACCAAAAUAUCUUGCACGUAAAUAAAAGUCCAAUUUGAACUUGGAAACAACGCCAAAUCCAGGCAUCCAAGAAACCUCAUACUUUUCUAUCGGGGCUUUGACAUACUUUAAUGUGGGUCCGGCGUCUUAUACCGGGCUAAAAACCCGACCUAUAUUAACCGCAGAGACGAUGACAGGAUUUGCAGGUGAUUUCAUGAGAAUGAGGCAAACGUUGGAAGAUGGAAGCAGAGGAGGCAAUAUCAGUAGCUAUCCUGCGAAUGCGGAUGUGGUCCUUAGGUGUUCUCCGAUGGAGCGAUGGCUGAGGAAUCUUGUACGACAACACUUUGAAUCUUACAAAUUCUGAGAUCUAAUGACGGUAUCGUGUUGGGGAAAAAAAGAAAAGAAAAAGAUCAUCUCAACCGUUAACCAUUUGAAUAAGCCAAUGAAGCAAAAGCAAAGUCGUUUCCAUCCCUUCAACCAGUUAAAAGCCUGAAAGAACCGAUUCAUGGAUCUGCAUUAGCAAUAAGCCUGCUUUCAGUUUAUUGGUGCAAAACACUAAGUCAUGUCAAACGCUCAUAUCUCAGGUCAUAUUUACCUACCAUCCUCUGUUAUCUCCUCCACAUGUGGAUGGAUAGCACUCCUGAUUUCCAUUCAAUACAGGUUCGACCAACUGAAAUAUUUAGGGCGCUUGAUGUAAAUUUGAGACAUCUCUCUAUUGUUUAAAAUGGGAAAACUGUAAUUUUCCUUCUCUUGUCCACACCAUCAGUCUAUUUCCCGGAAAUUCCAUUCACGGGAACUUGGGAGUUUCAGCUGUUUCAGUCAAUUUCGGCAUUCCAUGUUCUUAUUUAGCAUAAAAUUCUCCGCCAUAUCAGUUCUCUAGAAGCGGGUAUAAACUUUUCCUACUUUGUCUUCGAGUCCUGCAAUUUAUUCGAUUCCAUACCCGAGGUUUAUGACUUCCGAUAAACUUUUCCUUGUAAAAACACUUCCGAUCACCUAGGAAGCUAUUCAGAACAUAAAGAAGUUAUUUCAUAUUUCGGUUCGUUGGAAAAAUUCUCCUACUUGACUAUCAAUGUUUCGUUAGUCAUGCUUUAUUUUUUGUAUUAACUUAUAAUCUUGUGUCCUAAAAGCAUGAUGGGAAAAUAGUGUGCUUGAGUAGGUUUUGAGAAGCUACAAAUCACUUAUUAAUAUAUUUAUUGAAAUUUGAUUAAUAUAAAUAUUGAUUUGUUAAAACUAUUUAAUAAUUUAUUAUAUGUUCAUUAUUUAAGUCAGUUUUUAUAUUAAUUUACGUAAUUAGAUUAUUAAAAAUCACGAUAUGGCCAUAUCUGAACAUUAAUUAUUAGUUCCGACUCAAAUCGAUCAAUUUAAUAUGUAUUCAUCAAUUUAUAUACAAUACAAAUUCAGAGCUCCAUACUUGGUUCAAACCGUACCCUAUGUGUACCUGACUCAACUGACAUUACUAAAACACAGAUAUUAAGAAACAAGAACUUUUAUGCUAUGCAUAUAGUGAUUUAUUCUGCACUUGUACAUCUUAAUAGAUACUAUUGUGUGUUGCCUAAUUAACUUCCCUUAGCAUAUAUUGUGAAACAUGACGGAUGUACGUAUGUGUUGAGAUAAUUUUUCUACCAUAUAACAUUUAUUCCUAGUUCAAUUUACAGUAUUAAAUUCAAUAUAUGAUAAGAUAUCUAUAACUUAAAUUGGAGUUUUUAACGACAUUUGUCAAGCUUUUUUCUUUGAAUUAUAAGAAUUUUAAAUUUUUAUUUGUAGAUGAAAGAAUAAUUUGGAAAUCUCAUUUAAAGAAGGAAGGGGCUUUGACUUGAUGUGCAUCCUUAUGAAGUAGCUGAGUGGCUAGUAAAAUAGUUUUUUCCAAGCCCACUUGAAUUAUUAAACUAUAUGUCAUGAUAAAUGGGUGAAUGAGCAAUGUCUUAUUGCUGAAAAGUUUCCCACUUGGAAAAGCAAGGAGCCUGUGUACGAGGUCAAAGACACAGAGCUGGUUCAAGACCGGGGCACGACAGGAUAGCUCCCCAAGCUUACUACAAGAGCUAGGGUUCAAAGAAUACCGACCCCUAUCAACCUAGAGAGGGAAUCAGAGAGUGAAGCUCCACUAUCUCUCACUCUCUUUGAUAGAAUCGAACUAGCAAAACGAAGAGCCUUACUCAAAAGGUCUGGACCAUGAGCCAAGAAAAGAAAGCCUAAACAAAUCAAUUCAACAUCUACCACUGAGUAUAGGCGAAAUUUGAUAGUUGAUGAGCCACCGCACCAAAACUUCGAGCAUUCCCUAGAAUACAACCUUGAAGACUUCCAGUCCCUAGGAUACAAUCCCAAGGACUACCAGUGUUAUACAGAUGAAAUCAGUCAUUCAUCGUAUAACUGCUUUCUACCCACACACAGGGUCGAAAGUCUGUUAGAAGAGGGAACAUUUGCCCUUAUCCGCUAUGAUCCCAAUGAACUACUAAGCUUGUCACAUGACCAUGAAGAUAGCUUAAAUGCCUCAUCCUCGUUUGGUGAUUUUCACCCGGAAGAAAGCAAUGGGAUAAUCUCGGUAGAGUCUAGUUUCCCUGAAACGGAAAAAUUCACCAUUACAAUGAAUAUGCAAUGGGAAAACCAGUGGCCUAACUAGGAUACAUCAAACCCAUCUUGCACUCAUAAGAUCAUGAACCCUUGGAGAGAUGUUGAUACCUAAUCUCGGCAAGUAUAAUGGCACGACUUGCCCCGUGGCUCAUUUGCAAUAUCUCCAUGCUGAAACGAGUCGGUACUAUAGCCCGAUGUCAUUCACAACUCGGGCCUUCCAAGAAAGUCUUACAGGGCCUGCAUUGCAAUGGUUUGUCACAGCAUAUAUCUACCUCACGAGAGAUUGGAAUGAGCUAUCUUCUGCAUUCCUGCUUCAGUACCAAAGCCAGAUUAGAACUGAAUUGCCUUGCGAGAACUUGGUUCACUUUAGAAGAAGACCAAUGGAGAACUUCUGAGCAUAUGCAAGGAGGUGGAAGGAUUUUAUGAUGCAAACCUACCCUCAACUGGCCGAAGAAGAAAUGAUGAAGCUGUUCAUAGGAGCCUUACCUCGCAAACAUCGUUGUUGGUUACAUGGUUUGCACUUCUGUAACUUCAAUGAAGUGGUCCUCUCAUGUGAAUACUUUGAGUCUACUGGAGACGAGGAAUCAAAGGUGCUUGAUUUCAGAACCAGUACUAUCAAAGUGCUCAUUUUUCAUAGGAGUUUUCAUGGGUUUUGCUUGUUUUUAUAAUUUCAUGUUUUCUUAUCCUGCCUAGUGUUCUACUGUUGCAUUUUUCAUUCCAGUAAUCUAAUGUACAGUUCUAAUAUUUUGUUUUGAGAGCAUGAGGUGGUAUUCCAAACUAGCCUGGUGAUGCUAUCCAACCAUGAAAAGAAAAUAUCAUCAAAGGAGAAUACUAAGAGCUGUGCUUCCUCAUGCUUUCUUCGCCCAAAAGAUAUAUACUUUUGAAAACAAAAAAUGUUUCAUUACCAAAAGCUUUUGAACAAGAUGAUAAAUUUAAUCAUACUUGUCUUUCUGACUCACUCACUUUGUGUCUCAGAAUAUCAUCACCAUCCCCAUUGACUUAGUGUGAUAGGGGGCAUUUGAAGCUGGCGCAUCAUGUGAACUCGCGGAAUUCAAAGACACUCUUCUAGCAAGACAAUGGGGCAAACAAAAAAGAUCAUCCCACUUCAAAGAAGGUAAGUUUUAUUCUCUGAAUAUAAUUUUAGAAAUGAUGUCCUCUCUCUCCUAUUUAUAGGAAACGAAAGAUGGGACGUAAUAGGUACAGGCAUACGGUUGAAAUCAAGCCGUCCCUAAGAGCUCUGUGCACUCUACCUCACUCCUGCCCAACUCCUUCUCAAGUCGAAACAAUAUCUUUUCCCCACAACGUGCCUGAGCAACUAGAUGCUGUGGUUUCAUCAAUGGGAUUUCCAGCUUUGACAAGCCAAGAAGCAUAGAAAAUGAAUUUCUUCUCUUGAAUUGGCUACUGUCAACAGGGAGAAAAUCUAGACAGUUAAGGCAGUCUCUAGCCCCCUAUUUCAGAUGAUGACAUUAGGGCCUAGAAACCCCACUUCGUGCUCCAAAUGCAUGCUCUCCCAAGAAGUGAUUGCCAUCAGAGAAUUGGAGGUUUUGAUUGUCCAUCUUAGAUUCCAUAGAAGCUUGAAGUACAUGACUUUGCUCAAUGCUGCUAUAGUCAAAGACAGAAGAAAAAUUCCAUAGAAGAAAGGCGUUGAAGAUAAAUUGACAACCAUCAAUCAUGCAUACAUGGCCAUGAGUGAGGAAGGCCAAUCGAAAGAAAUGCCAAAUUGUGCCAAGACGAAAAGGCUUUCAUCGACAUUCAAAUAUCCCUAGGAGUAAGCAAAUACAAACUUUGGAGAAGAGUAAUUUGGUAUCGUUUCCAAUACCCCCCCUUCUCUGAAUUCACUUUUGACAUAUUCCCCCUAUUAGCAAGAAGUAUCAGGAUUCAAGAGCCAAACUUGUUGGUUAGGUUUGGCAAAUCAAUAUUGGCCAAGCUAGCCAAACAACCUCUCUGUGGUUUGACAAUUGGCACCCUAGAGGGCCCUUGAACCUGAUCUUCUCAGAUUCUCUUAUCUAUAGCUCAGGGCUCUCUAGACAAGCUUGUGUUGCUGACCUCUUCUCAGAUGCUGGCCAAGCUCUCAGGUUGGUGCUUGAAUCGUGGGGUCAACCUCUUCCGAUCCUGAUGAAUGUCCCGGAUCGUUGCUGUUGGCGAGAAAGCUCUUCGGGCCAGUUCACUAUGGCAUCGGUGUGGAACUUCAUCAGGAAGAAGAGGACGCGGGUCCAUUGGUACUCCUUCAUAUGGGACAACGCCAUAGUGCCCCGAUAUCAGCUCAAUCUUUGGCUCAUGGCCAAGCGUAGGCUUCCAACCCAGGAUCUCCUUCUGUCCUAUGGUAUAAUUGGAAAUGCUGCAUGUGCGUUUUGCAAGAAUGUGCCUGACUCUCUUGACCACUUGUUUUUUGAUUGCUGUGUCACGGCUAGCGUUGCUUUAUUUUGGGCUUCCAGAUGCAAUUUACCCUGGCGUAACAGAGCUUGGGGGGAGAAUUUCCGUUGGGCAGCUACCUAUUUGAUGGGGAAAGAUUUCUAUAAGUGCAUAGCCCGUUUUUCCUUUGGCGCGUUGUGUCAUAUCAUUUGGAAAAAUAGGAAUAACAUCAUCUUUAGAGACCAGCCUCUCUCGGUUCCGGCCAUGAAGAACCACCUCUUCAAAGUGGUCCGAGACAAGGCUAUCACCUUCAGGAACGUCGAAGACAAUUUCAGAAACAGAAGGUUGCAGAGAAGUUGGAGCCUAGACCCGAUUAUUUUCAAUGGGGACCCGUAGGUCCUUGAACUGACGAUGGCCUCCUCUUUGCUUUUGUCUCUGUUUGGUAGCCGGUCGACCUAGCCGUGCUUAGUUUGGCCUUGUUGUUGUAGUUGUUGUGCCGUCCUUGCGGCUUUUGCAUCUCGUCACCCUUCCACUUCUUUUGUUACUACAUUUGGAGUGCAAGUUCCUGGUGUCGAGAUCUUUUUGUACAUUUGGCCAUUCCUUAAUAUAUUUCUUACCUUUUACCAAAAAAAAAAAAAAAAGCUAGUACGUGGAAAUGACCCAUAUCAAAUUCACCUGGCUUCGUGUAAAAGGACGUGUCAUCCAGGAGCCAAUUCAAAGAAUAAUUGACCUAACGAAGCAGGGACAUAGGACUUCGUGUUCCCUUCUCACUUCAAGUUUACCCAAUCAUCUGCAAACUAGUGAAGGGUAAAGUUGUAUCGCUUCCAGUUAUUCGACUAUUGAAAGAGUUCAUGACUAACACAUUCCCUUUUAUCUGUUGCAGGAUUGCUUGACCGUAAAAAAUGUGGAUAACAAAUCAAGGAAAGAUAUGUUAAACUCUAAUAGGCUCUCUUGAGCGAAAUGGCAUCCUGAGUAAUCACCAAAGCAAAUGACAAAAAAUCUUCAGGCCUCAACUCACAUUUGAUUUUGGCCAGACUAAUUGAUCUACUUGUACAUCUUCUCUUCUGUAGAGGCAAAAGUAGGGAUGCCCGAUCAGAUUCCCAAUCCUUGGCUGAUCAUUCAUGUGUCAUAUCCCUAAUCAAUAGGGACAACCAUCGACACAUCCAUUUGCGAAUAACCCUUUUGAUGUUCAAAACUGAACAUAUUUGGAAGCACCAUUAUGUUAGCCCCUAAAGUUGUCAAUAGGGUGUUUUUUGAGUCAAAACCAUUCAUUUGUUUUGAGAGUACAAACUCCAUCACACUUAAAAUGUUGCAUGCUUUUUUCAAAUGGAUUUUGCAUGAUGAUUUUGUCUAUCUAAAUCACUGAUUCCAUUGAGAAUUAUUAGAAUAGACAGCUAAGUGAAUAAUACAAGAUUAAUUGAGCAUGUUGGAUGAGGUGCGUUAGAAUGAUGAAAGGCAAGCCAUAUCCUACACACAAUUCCCCCCAUCUAUACACUUGUGAGAUGAGUGUAGAAGAUUCCAUGGCUGCAGGGUAAAGAGUUCUCUCGCGAAUGGUACGAUAACCAAAAUAGUGAGAGGCAUUCCAGCGCCUCACCCCAUUAAGCUCCAUACACUGGUGAAAUUUUUUCCUUACCCUCAUCAAGAACCACCCCAUACUGGGACAGAUCAGAGGUGAAGCAGCAUCACAAGGUGAGAAGAGAGAUAGAAAUUUUCUUGCUCGCACUUGCAUCAAUCUUCGGUGCCUUUGUGGCCUAUGAACACUCGCGUUAAUUUAAGUGCUUAGAAUGACGAAGAGCAAUUCCCUUUCUAUGCAUUUGUAUACAUUGUACAACCCAAGUGAGUUUGUAAUUUUACCCUCACAUUGAGACAAAGCAGAAGUUAUUGCCAUAGCCUAGAGCGCCGGCUGAAGAUGAAGACUCUAGAGUCUAAAUAAUGGUGCUUCGAUUGAACUUGCCUAGAUUAGUUCCUAAAAAAAAAUGAAAAAACUAGGGGCAUAAAAAGCAGUGUACUUGGUAAAAGUAAGGUCAAAUGUCCAUAAAUGAAAUGUUGGGAUAAAAAAUAGGGGCAUGAAAAAGCAGUGUACCUGGUAAAAGCAAGGUCAAUGCCCCUAGCAAAAAAAUAUAGUCAAUUGUAUUCCCAAGAGAAGUUGUUGUUGUGGUUCGAUUGAUAGAGCUUCCAUCUAACAGUGAGAAGAAAGAUUGGUGACAAAUGCCAAUGCAAUCACCAACUCUCACCCUUUUACACAUGAGCCAAGCCUACAUUGCGUCCCAUUGUAAAAGUCUCUUCAGACUAGGAGCACUCCAAUUAAUGUAGGAUUUCAUUUGUUUAUAAGCAUCACUUGAAGAAGUACGAGCAAGAUUAUUCUAUCUCUUUUCGCAAGAUUCUUGACUUGCAAACCCAGAGAUGAUCGUACAGCAUUUCGUCCAUCGGCUUCGACCUUGAUGAUCCCAUUUGAUGAGCUGCUAACCAAGACUUCAUCACAGUUUCGACAAAGACCUCUCUCAUUGGUAAAGUCAUACCAUUUGCGAGAAUACUUGGACCCCUGCUGACAUAAUGAUAGUGAGAUAGUGUGAUUUUUGUAAAUCCUACAUCAAUGGUCAGGAUAGCAUUUUCCAUGAGAGUGAGUGGAAAGUCUUUUUAGACUGAAAGUCCCUCAUUUGGCAUGCUCAAGACAUCUACAUUCUAAAUGAAUGUUAUCUUUCAAAAUCUUCUCCAGUGGAAGUCAGAUGAUGCAAAACUGACAAAAUUAUUAUGCAUGAAUCUCAUUUGAACUCAUGAAUUUACAACACAUAUAAUCAUGUGUGCAUACUGUGCAAAUAGCAGACAUACUCUCAGAGAUCAGAGAUAUUGCCAGGUAAGCAUAUCCCUAUCCCCAUUUGUCUUAAAGUACCUACCACUGUCCAGGUACUCUCUUCUUGACACUCGACCUAUUUGAGUUGUCCUUUAAGUUUAGGUGCUUGCAACUGUCUAAGUAUCCCAUUGUCUUUGAGUACCCACCACUUGCCGGGUACUCCUUCUUAUUGACACUCGACCUGUUCGAGUUGUCCCCAGAGUAUUGAUAUUUGCGACUGUCUAGGUAUCCCCCUGUUUUUGAGUGCCUGCCGUUACUCAGGUGCUCCCUCUCUUGACACUCGACUUAUUCGAGUUGUCUUUAAAGUUUGGAUGCUUGUGGCUGUUCAAAUAUCCUCUUGUCUUUGAGUAUCGACCACCGUUCUAAUACUCCAUUUCUGUGACACUCGACCUGUCCGGAUUGUCCUCAAAAUUGUGUCAUUGAAUACUGGCAACCAUUCAAGUAUUCCACCACAUUGUGUGCCUGUGAUUACCUAGGUAAGCCUCGUGCUACAUUCAAAUUCCCAAUUACCAAGAUGUGAGAAACCUUGACGAAUAUCUCAAGUACGUCCUCGAUAUUCCCAUUUACCAGAAGGUGAGAGACCUUCAUGAAUAUGCGGGGCACGUCCUCGAUAUUCCCCAUACCAGGAGGUGGGAGACUUUCAUGAAUAUCCAAGGUACGCCAUCGAUAUUCCCAACUAUCAGGGAGUGAGAGACCUUUAUGAAUAUCCAAGGUACGUCAUCGAUAUUCAUAUUACUAGGAGGUGAGAGACCUUCAUGAAUAUGCGGGGCACGUCCUCGAUAUUCCCCAUACCAGGAGGUGAGAGACCUUCACAAAUAUGCGGGGCACGUCCUCGAUAUUCCCCAUACCAGGAGGUGGGAGACUUUCAUGAAUAUCCAAGGUACAACCUCGAUAUUUCAACUACCAAGAGGUGAGAGACUUUCACAAAUAUGCGAGAACCAUCCUCGAUAUUUCCACAUACCAGGAGGUGAGAGACCUUCACGAAUAUCUCAGGCACCCUCCAAAAUUUGUACUUGUAAUCAUCUAAGUACUCUUCGACACCUACAAGCAAUCGGGUACUCCUUCAACACCUGCAAACAUCCAGGCACCCUUCAGAAUUCGCACUUGUGAUCAUCCAAGUACCCUUUCAACGCCUUCAAAGGCCCAAAUAUCCUUCAGGUUAGUACUUAUGAAUAUCUAGGUACUCUUUCAAAAUGCCUAUAAAUGUCCAGGCACCCAACAAACAGAUGCCCUGAGAAAGGUCGGCGCAUCCCCUGAGAAAGGUCGGGAGCCAUAUGGUGUCCUUGACGAAGAUCAUACACCAAAAAACAAGAUGCCUUAAGAAAGGUUGGUGCAUCUCUCGAGAAAAGUCAGGUAUCAACUGGUGUCCUCGACUGAGAUCAAGCACCCCCAACAAAUCAAUGCCCUGAGAAAAGUCGAUGCAUCUCCCAAAAAAGGUUGGGUACCAAUUGGUGUCCUCGACUGAGGUCAGACACCCCUAACAAAUUGAUGCCCUAAGAAAGGUCGGCGCAUCUCCUGAGAAAUGUCAGGUACCAACUGGUGUCCUUCACAGAGAUCAGGCACCCCACAAAUUGAUGCUCUGAGAACGGUCGACGCAUCCCCCGAGAAAGGUCGGGUAAACAAUUUAUUGCUCUAAUAGGUGACCGAAGAAUGGUUUGGGUCCUGCAAGAACAAUUUCUAGUCAAGGCAACCAGAGAAAGGUUUGGGUCUUAGAGAAGCAACCUUCUCACAUUACCAGGUAAGAGCAUGCCCUGAUACUUACCAAGCUUGGGGUUCACACCCUAUCUCACUCACUCCCGAUACGUAACUACAGGUAUCUUCUUAUCUGUCUUAGUAUGUGUAAUGUUAUAUUGCUCAUUUUCAGUAUAAGACACUAGGUCCCAAAUAAGAUAUAAUCUAUUGCAUAUGUAUAGACAAAAUUUAGGUAUUAGGUUUGUCUUUGAAUGCAACCUUUGCGAACUCACAUUCAAAAAUGGGUAACUGUUGACACCUAAAUUUUGAUUAGGUUAUUAAUUAGGCUUUAAUUUCUUUUAUUUUUCCUUCUUUUAAAUAAUAAAAACAAAAUAAUAAAAACAACAAAAAAAAUAAACAAAAGCAAAGAAAAAACAAAAAGAAAAGCAGAAGCCAGCAGCCACAAGGGCUGGCCCUUCAAAGCCCAGUCCCUCUCCUCUUUUCUUUUCCUUCGCGCAGGUCCGCGAGGCCUAGCCACGACCUAACCCGGCCCAUGCCCCCCUUGUCUUCUUCCUCCUUGGCUUCUCCCUUCAUGCGUCUGCAACACACGCGUAGAGAGCAGCAGCUACGGUUUCAACACGCGCAUAGGCCAACUGGUGACGGAUGGGACGUGCCUUCAAAGCAAGCAAGUGCGUAGCCGAGGUGAUGCCGGUUCGGCCGCACCAAGGCCGGUCGGUACAUGGAGGAUCGGCAGCCAAACCUCUCCGUCGACUGGAUUCCCUCGCCUAUAAAUAGGCCAGCAUUACCUCUAUUAAAGGACACACGGAAGCGGCGAAAGAUCGAGGGCUGCAGAUCUUUGAAACCUCCCAUUGAGAGACUUCAGAAGGGGGGUCGAGGACGAGUAGACCGAGAUCUGAGAGCUUGCGGUCGAAGAGAGAGCGAUCAAAAGCGGGCGAGUGUCGCAAGCUUCCCUCGAGAGACUUCAGGGGAGGCCUGAGCGCUCGCAAGCCCAGAUCUGAGGGAGGGAGAGAGAUAUGAGCAGAAGGGGUUGAGCGAGAGAAGAAUCAAAGGAGAAAAGGGUUGAGAUCUGGGCGCAGAUCUGGAAAUCCGCUGUGUCGAGUCGCCCUAAGCCAAGCCGCAGCCGUCCCCGACGUCACAGCACCAGAUCUCUACCAAAGCUGAGAGGCCACCGUCUCUGCCCUGUCGUCGUCACCUCCACCGUUUGUCGCCUUGUCGAGCUAUUGCUGCGAACACGUAACAGUAGCCGCCGCCUGUCGCUCCUCCGCCGUCGCAGCCCCCUCUCUCGAACUUCAUCUUCCACCAAAUCUCAGUCUCAGCAAGUUGGAGCCUCCCUUGUGUAUUUUGUCGCUAUGCCACAGGUCCCGUCAUUGAUCUAGUUUAGUGGUUGGCUGCCGGCUGCUACAUCAUCGUCGUCGGACGUCGGGCUGCCGCUCGAUUGCCCCCCCAAACCCUCCGAUCAGCGUUGUAGGUAGAUGGAAGGAGAGAGGGUCGCGAAACCGGGUUGAGACCGGGUCGAGCGUGUGACCUGGUGCUCUAGGGUUUCAUCAAGCCGGGUCAAGUUGUCGGACCCGGGUAGGGUUUCCUUCGAGUCGGGCCGGGUCAUGCAUGGACUAAAUUCACACAGGCCUUAGAGAAGUGGGCCUAUUUUUGGGCUAGGCUUGUUUUCCACCAAAGAAAAAAAAGCAAUAAAAAAGUUCGAGUUGGGCUCGCAACGCGGGCCCAUCCGGAUCUCGGGUUGACGACCUGGUCGGACCCAACCCUGGAUUCGACCUGGUUCGGUUUUUUUUUUUUAAAAUAAUAAUAAUAAUAAUAAUAAUAAUAAUAAUAAUAAUAAUAAUAAUAAUAAUAAUAAUAAUAUAAAAUAAUAUUUUUAUAAAUAAAAUAAAAAAUAAUUUAUUUUCCAGAAAAUAAAAAAAAUAAAAAAUCUCCAUAUUUUCUCAAAAAAACCAAAAAAGUCAGAGAAAACCAAAAAAUAUUUUAUAUUUUCCCAAAAAUCCAAAAAAUGCCAAAAAGACUUGUAUUUUCUUAAAAAAAUACCAAAAAAAAUUCCAAAACAAAUCCCUUUUAUGUCCAAAAAAUGAGAAAAGGACCCAAAAAAUGUUUUUCCUCCACAAAAUGCAUGGAAAAUCUCUCAAACAUUCAAAAGCCUUAGGGUUUAAACAAGAUUAGGUACCGAAAGAGCAUUAGUGAUUAACUAGUGUAAUCAAGCCCCCGAUCCUAAUUUCUCUGGUUGCGCAUGAGCGAGUAUUUCUUCCGAUACUUUGUAUGGGUUUCUAAUCUACCCACCCUAAAUUGAUUAGUGGUGACUCCGUUUUAAAAAUUAACUUACAGAUUGAAAACUUAGACUAUUAAAGUCGUGAAUUGGUGGACUUGAGAGAGUCUAGGCCUAAUAAAUCAAACCAUUAGCCUCCGCAAGGCACCUGCCCUUGAUCGGGCGCCGAAAAAAACGAGGUCGCGACACCGAGCGGACCAUGAAACUAGCCGCCUCACACUUGCUCACCCUGGCUACAACAUGGCCAGAUAGAGAUAUUCAUACACAUAAUCUAAAAAUGUCAAGUUUUGAGAAGAUGACUGAUUAAUAAACAUGGGAAUCCAUUAAGCUUACUAUGAACAUAGUAAACACGGGGAGCCCUUGUCACUUGACCAAAGUUAAAGGGCAUUGGACAAUGAAAGUUCAAAUAACAAAAGAUAACGAGUGCUAGACACCCUAAGUAUCAAAUUUUGAUAUAGGCGAACACUUAAAUGUCAAAACUUCCAAAAAGUAUACUUAAAUGCAAAAAUUGAGAACAAAAGAAUACUUAAGUACCAAAGACGAGAAUUCCAGCCAAAUCGCUAACGUGAUUUAUUUUGACAAAUUUUUUAUUGACGUAACAAUUCUUUUAAAAAAAUUAUUCACAUGGCACUAAUAUGACUAGCUUAUCCCAAAACGACGUUGUUUUGGCCCCAAAUUUGAUUUUUAAUAAAUAUUAAUUAAAUUAAAUUAAAAAAUUAAAAUUUUUUAGGGGGAUGACCAGAUUAGUGAGGGCCUUUACUGCCUCAACAUUGCCGCCACCUCACCAUCGCCAAAAAGGGCUAGCAACGAUGGGGCGAGUGUUGCCACCCCUCCCUCAGAUCAGGCCAAGGAUUGCCGUUGACUAGGGCAAGGUCAAGCCCUUGCCUAGAUAUGGGACAAAGGGCCAAUGACCUCUCCCGAUCUAGGGGUGGGUCGUCACCCCUCACCCUAGAUUUGGGCAAGGGCUUGUAGGCCCUCACCUACAGUUGAUUAGGGUCGCCGACCAUUAGCCGAGGCUCGGCGACCACAGCAGACCAUCGCUCUAUCGUUGCCGGCCCUUUUUGACAAUGGAGGGGCGGUAGCAACGACGUGGGUCGUAUAGGCCCUCAUUGAUUUGCUCCCCCUUUUUUUGAUUUAAUUUAAUUUAAUAGAUAUUUAUAUUAAAAAUCAAAUUUGGGGACAAAACAACUUUGUUUUGGGAGAAGCUAAUCACAUCAACAUCACGUGGAUUUUUGGCUAGUCACGUGGACUAGUUUUAUUAUUAAAAUAAUGUCAAGUCGGAUUUUCGGCUAAUCUCGCCGAAGUUAGCACUUAAAUGUCCAAUUUUCUAAAAAAGUGACACUUAUGAAUACAUUUUGGAAGUUUUUACACUUAAGUGUCUAUCUGUGUCAUGUUUUGGCACUUACUGCAUACUUUUACCAAGGGAUAAUGGUUGGUAAUUUGUGUUUUCUUGCAUCAACUUUUAAGCAUAAGACAUGUUCGUCAACCUAAACAAAAGGGAGAAGCAAGAAAUAUAGAAUCUCACUUUCAUCUAACAUCUCGGGCUAGAAAUUAGGUGGAUGAACAAGCCUUUGAGUAUUAGGAUUUCGCACUUCUACGAUCCCUUUCAAGAGUUAAGAUCUUGAUACAAACAACUCAUUGGUGCAAGGACCGAACUUGUGACAUCCCGAUUUUCUGAUUCUAUUUUCAAUAAAUUGAGACGGGCAUUUCGUUGGCACGCAUAUAGUUCUUUUCCUUGAGUUGGCCACUCAUGUGGAAACUAGUCUAUAGGGUGAAGCUGUUAAGAGUUUCUAAUGCAUCAGACCCGAGAAUUUGACCAGGAAGCGAUCUUUCGACCGAGCUAAUCUGCAAGGGUCAUUACAGCACAAUUAAAAAUCGAUUAGAGAUCGGAGAUAGGUCGACUCGACAGAGGCAUGUGAUCAGGUGUGGGUGAUUCCACCAGAUUGCACAAUUCUUGUCGAUCGACACUGGACCGACUUUUUUGUUGAUUGGGUACCCUGUGUUCGUAUUUGAAACCUUGAGAUUACCCCGACAACCGAAAGUCGUCAAUGUUUCAAAGAUGUACGUUAUGGCUUGAGAUGAUCAACCACAGGUCAAAUGCAUGAAAAUUUCUAAAGGCUACCCAGUAGGUUGGACCGCGCUGGUAUCGUGCCAAAGUGAAAUUAACCGUGGAAUUGAGAUCGAAUUCAGAAAUUGGAAGUCUGGGUGUGUCACAAAUCAUUUCAAGAUCAUUGAGUCAUCUUUGGGAAGAUUUUUCAUGCAAGCCGAGUUUUUCAGCAAAAUAAUCAAGAAAUAGCUAAUUUGGCUCGAGAAAUUAGUAGGCCGCUUUUGGUCGCGCUUUUGGGACUUAAGUUGGUCCUAUGGACAAGUGAAGAUGUGAAUUGAAGUGUGGUGACAUUGGGUUAAUUUUAUGGACUUCAAUUUAACUCAAUUGGAAGAGAAUUGAUGGAAAUUGAAGCAAUUGGAUGUGCAAGGAUUUGGACCCCGGCGGAAAAUGAAAUUGAACCUAUUGGACUAAGGUUGUGGAAGGUUUGGAGUUAGUGGAUGAUGACCUCACCUAUGAUGUCAUGGAUGAGGCAAGAUGGGCUAGGGUGGUGACAAGUGGAAGGUGGAGAUGAGGUCUUGGAAAGGUGGGAUGUCACUUCCCCUUUGUCCCCAUCAUCUUCAACCUUUGAAUUUGGAGGAGAGAGAGAGAAGGUGUGCGUGAGAAGCCAGCGGAAACCGAAGCCCUCCGUUCGCUCCUUCGCCGCUCGACUAUCGCCGCCGCCUCGCUCGCCGUUCGUCGGAGCUCGCGUCGCCGUUGCCGCUCGCCCGCGCGUGACCGCACGCCCUCCUGCGCCGAGCCGCUCGCCUCCGUCUCCGUCGUGAGUCCCGCACCGUCGUCGCCCAACCAGCUGCUGUUCGCCGGCCGCCCGCCUGCAUGCCAUCGUCGCCACUCACUGCCGCCGCCCCGCGCGUCUCCGCCCGCUCACCGUCGCAGCCCCGCGAGCUGCUCCGCCCAGCCGCCUCCGUUUGCUGCUCGGGAUCUCAGAUCUGGUCGGACGCCGAGCAGAAACCAGCAGCUCCGCCUAUCGCCGUUUGCCGCCGCCGCACGCCGUCCUCGCCCCGCGUCGCCUCGCCGCCGUGCUGUCGUUCGUCUCCCUCUCGCUCGCUCGAACGCCGUUCCUCCGCCCGAACCGGCGCCGGAUCUGCUCCCUCUCGGCCCCGAUCAGCAACCCAGAAAAUGGGUAUGGCAGCCCAUGUUUGGCCCGUUUUGGUCGCCUUCCCGAGCCCGGAUGCUCGGCCCGCUUUGAGGAAAGUCGAUCCUCGCGUCGCCCUCGUCGUUUUGGUCCGCUCGGCUCGCUAAUCCGGUGAGUUUAGCUCACUAAACCUCGCUUAGAGGGUUAAUUAUGCUUAGGGAGGUUUAGUUUAUGUUAAGUAUUAUUAGGUUGUUAGUUUAGGUUAAUUAAGAGUAGAUUUGAUUAAGGUUGUGGUUUAAUUCAAAGUGUGCUUAAUUAAGGGUAAGUAGGUUUAUUUAAAAUAAGCCUUGAUUUGACAUAAAUGAAUUUACUUUUGAUUUAUUUGAAUGUCUCGAAAUUAUUAUAUAAUUUAAUAAUAUAUUUUAUUCGAAAUUAAUAAAAUAUUAUUAUUUAAUUAUUUUCGGAAUAAAUUAAAUUAUUUGUUAAAUUCCGAAAAUUUUGUCGAGACCUUAUUCUCUCAGAAUUUCGUGCUGAUCGCUGUUGUGCAUGUAGAAUGUGAAAUUGAUGAUUGGUUGUGGCGAAUUGAGUGUGAUUGCGAUAUAUAGGGAUUCCUUAUAAAAUCCUAAGUGUAGAAAUUGAUGGGAGAUUGGCUGUGAUUGACCACCUAUUAGAGGUCGUGCCCAGUGAGGCCGUGAUAAACCACCUAGGAAAGGUCGUGCCCGAUGAGGCCGUGAAAUACCACCUAUUAGAGGUCGUGCCCGAUGAGGCCGUGAAAUACCACCUAUGAGAGGUCGUGCCCAGUGAGGCCGUGAUAAAUCACCUAUGAGAGGUCGUGCCCAGUGAGGUCGUGAUAAACCACCUAGGAAAGGUCGUGCCUGAUGAGGCCGUGAAAUACCACCUAUGAGAGGUCGUGCCCAGUGAGGCCGUGAUAAACCACCUAUGAGAGGUCGUGCCCAGUGAGGCCGUGAUAAACCACCUAUGAGAGGUCGUGCCCGAUGAGGCCGUGAUAUGCCACCUAUCACAGGUCGCGCCCAUGGGGCCCGUGAAUUGCCACCUAUUAAAGGUCGCGCCGAGUGGGGCCGUGAUGCCACUGAUUCAAAUUUGCCGAGUAGGGCCGUAGUUGAGAGCAAUGAUGAUUUGCUAGGAUGACAUGUAAUCGGCCCGAGUCGAUAGAUUGCUGACACGAUCCCAAGUGGUGAAUGGUUUGAUAAUGUGAUUGUGCCAUGGUUGUUUGGUUAUCAUAAUUGCACGUGGUUGGUUCAUAUAAAUUGUGCUAACCUGCAGAUGAAAGGCUGAGGCGAGGUAAGUCCUCUGUGUGAUGUGGCUAGGCCACCCGGGGCGUAUUUUCUUUCUAUAGGGGUUUAAGGGGUUGAACUUGCUGAGACAUCGUCUCAUCCCGGUUGUAGGAUUAAAAUUUCAGGUCCCUGGUGGACGGAGCAACUAGAUAGCUUUGGUUGGCUUUGAGGAGUUGCAGACGUGAAGUAUUAAGACUGGAGAACGUGUCCGACUUGUAGGUCGUAGGACAAUUCCUUUUUAAGAGCCGGUCUUGUGUAGACUGUUGGCCGUAGACUUCUGUUUGUAAUUCUGUUGAAUUAUGAAAGUGUUAUGUUGUGGUUUGUUUCCUGCUUUUCUAUCCCAAGUUAAAUGUUGUCAGGGGAUUUGUUUCGCUUCCGCAUGCGUAAAUAAUUGAAUGGGUCGGCGACAUAUCCUGGGAUGUCGCAUUUUUGAUCAACCGUAGUGGGAUGUGCGCGCGCUCGGGGUUCGGGGCGUGACAGAACUGCUGCCUUCCGCUCAGGAUCAUUCACAAGAGCAGACGAUGAACCAUCAUGGACCGAAAAUAACAGGGAAUCUAGACGAGAGGAAUUCCACAUAACUUACACGCGUGCAAUCUAUUUGUCAAGCUAUCCAAGCAAACAGAGAGAGAAUUAAACAUAAUAGAACUAAAAGAUUAAGAAAGUUUUAUGGCAGCAGCCUUCCUGCAGAAACACGGAUAAAAUAAUUAAAACAAACUAAGAUUAUAAUAAAGAUGUGUGUUUGAUGUGUAAUAACUAUAUAGUAGAUAUUGUAUUAAUCUUCUUUAUCCACCUCCUUUGAAAUAUUGAAAUUUUUAAAACCUAUCACGAAAAUAUAGUGGCGUCCUAAACUUUUAAUCUAUACAAUCAAAUCUUAAAACUUAUUCGAUCUACGCAAUCAAGUAAAUUUGUUCCUCUAUUCAAUUUGAUGAAGGAAAAUGCUGACUUGGCAUUUCUUUUUACUGUUUUGGGGUUACACUUGACAAAUGUUGCGACAACAACUAGGCGCUAGGGGUAAGCAUGGUUUUAGGUAAAAUCUGGAACUUGAUAAUCGGACCAGUGGGAAAAUGUAAGUUCUAGGUUCCAAGGUACGUGGGGUAGGUUCCGGGUUUAAAAAAAUGAGAAACCUGUUUCGAUGGAUAUGUUUAAUGUUCUUAGCUGGAGGAAUCUGGAACCUAGAAUCUGUAACUUGGAACUUAGAACUUGAAAUAAGUUUUAGUAUUUUUCUUGAUCCAUGUCUCUAUGCAAUCCUCCGAUAUUUUAUGCUGUUUGAUGAUGAGUGUAUAAACUGAAGACACUAGCUUGAGUUUCCAUUUUAUGAUUAAGAUUUUUACUUUAUUAAUGUUCAUAUUUUUCGUGUAUCUAAAUAUAAGUUAUAAUUAGUGAAUUGUAGUCAUUUAAAUAAUAAUAUGUGGAAUCUGAGUAGAUCCUAGAAUCGACUCUAGAACUUGUGACAAAAGAGGUUACGGUACUAAAGUAUGUAUAGUAGGUCCCAAAUUCUAAAAAAUAAAGAACCCGUUCCAAUGAAUAGGUUCUAAGUUCCAAGUAGAACCUGUACGGAAACUGAAACCGCUCACCCCUACUAAGUGCCAUAUAAGAAAAGAUUGGAAAAUUAAAAAAAUGGGAUAAAUAUAUUGUAAGUCUUAAAACUUGUUAUGAAAGUGCGAUUAAAUCACUAAAUUUUCAAAAAAUGUGAUUAAAUCCUAAAAUUUAUUACGAAUGUGUAAUUGAGUCCUAAAAUUUUCAAAAGGUACAAUUAAGUUUUAAAACUUGUCAUGAAAGUGCAAUUAACUCUUACAACAUUUAAAAGUGUAACUAGCCUAAAGACCUAAUUGAACCAUUUUAACAAAUUUAAUGACUUGAUUGCACUUUUUAAAAGUUUUAGGAAUCAAUUGCAUUUUGAUAAUACGUUUUAAGACUUAAUUGCACUUUUUGAAAAUUUUAGGACUCAAUUGCAUUUUCAUGAUAAGUUUUACAACUUCCAAUCUACUUAUACCUAAAAAAAUUAAGGGAUAAUACCACAAAAUAUCUCAAACUAGAAUUCGUGACUCAUUUACCCAAAACUAAUUUUCCUAUCAUAAAAAAUCCUCAAUUAAGACACUCGUGACAAAUUUAUUUUUCGUUAAUUUCCGUCAGAUACCCUAAGUUGCUAACAUGGAAAAAGACAUAGCAAGCAACUUUUUGAUAUGGAGAGUUAGUGUAAAUGGAUUUUUUAAACGACAUUCUUGUGGGGAAGUUAGAAACAUGGCAAGCGACUUGUCUGACGUGGAGAUUUAACUUAAACGGUUUUUUUGAACAGCGUUCUUGUGGAGAGUUCAGAUUUAAAGAAAAUGGUCUGAGAUUGAGAAUUAGGGCAAAGUUGAGUCCUCCCUCCCUCUUUCCUUCCCUCCCUCCUAACUCACCAAAAUCUUAAGGCAAAGUUGGGAUAAAACUAGGGAUUUCAGUAGAUAUCCGAAACAUGAGCGAGCUCUUGUCUAGAGGGGAAGCUGCUAGAGAUGGAGAUGGCAAUGCCACCAGGGACAAGGACGACGUGGAGUCGUGGCUCAGAUGCAGACGUGGUGGCGAGAAGAAUUAGUGUUUGUUUGGAAAUGGGGGCAUCAGGGCAUGUGCGCAAUUGAAAGUAUAUUGUCUUUCAGAUAAGUAUAGUUUGGUCUUUCUUAGUCCUGAAAUCUGAUCCUCAACAGCAAACAUGUAUUACCAAAAUUAGAGGAUGCAAAGUGGUGAAGAUGUGAAAUGAAGAUGGUUUUCAGUAUCUUCUCUUUGUAAUUUUCCUCCUCCCUUUCAACCUUUUCUGUAAUUGGCCAGACGACAAUUUUCCACAUACUUAAAUAGUUGAAAAUCGAUGGCCAUCUUUUCGUUCUUUUUCACUGAAGAGUCAAUUCGCAUUCAUAAAUUUGAUGUUGAGGUUUUAUGGUGGUACAUAUCAACGUAUACAUCAUGCCUUAAUUCACUCUCUUUGACUUAGAUGGAACAUGACAUGAUACAUAUGGUUGUUUAACUAAUUCCGUCAAUUUUUCUAGGGGCCUGAAUCACAGCAUUCUCAUGCUUCCCGUGGGCUUAAUUCAUUCUCUGUCUAAUAUUGCUAGCAAGGGAAUUGAAUUAGCAAAAAAAAAAAAAAAAAAAGACCCCCGACUAUCGGAUUUUGACAUUUUAAUUCUAUAGAUAAUUUCUUUUUGCAUGAAUUUAAAUUGACACCUUCAAAUAAGGAAUUAAGUAUUAACAAUUUCAAUGGUUGAAGAAAAGUUCAUUCCGUUGAUUAUGAUGGUGAUAGUAAAAUUGAGUCCCAAUUUUAGCAAUGAUAAUGUAGAAAAUAGAUGGUCAUGUAACAUAUGGACAUAAAUUAAUUGCUAGCUUAUUAUGUAUGCCACUCAGUUUGAACGGCACUCACCAAUAAAGAACAGCCCGGCCUCGAAAAAUAAAUAAAAAAACAAAAAAAGGGGUAUUACUUGAUGAUGUUCUACGAGAAGGGAUGGACGAACUCAGUGAGAUAUUAAUAGAGCCCUCUAUUUUGCUUGUGAAAUUAAUCGGAUAUUCAAAAAAUCAAAAACACAAAAUUCACUAUGCAAAGAAAGUCACCGGUGCAAGUGAAAACGGAAGAGAAAAUUCAAGUUUGUGACAAAGAUUCCUUAACAAGUUCAAGUUCACAUUCACUUUGUGUCAAAAAUCCAAAUAAAAGAUGCCAUUUCCUUGGCAUUUCACACCCCCGAUUCGGCUGGGAUAGCUUGGUUCAACAGAAGACUUAUUAAACUAUGUUAAUUUGGCUUGGCUUGAGCACUUGGAAUGAGCCUCCUCCAGCGGCUUGCUUCCAAAUUUUCUGUAUGCUCAAUAUGUAACAGAUGAUAUAUUAAUAUUAUAAAGAAAGAAAUACAGAUAAUAAAUGAUUAGUGUCUACUGUAAGUAUUUAUUUUCCAACUUAAAUUUAAUUAAGGAUGUGUUUGUUUCAUGGAAAGAAAUUUCCAAAAAAAAAAAAAAAAUGAUCGUGUGUAUUACUUACAAAGAUGAAUGAAUGAAUUUUUUUUCAUCAUUUACCAAAAUAGUUAGACAUAAACCCUUUUCAUUUGCGAAUUGAGUUAGAAGUUAAUUUUAAGGACCACAAACUCUCUCUCCCUUUCCACGAUUGAGGUCGAGUUUAACAUCAAUCAAGGCAACAAGGCUAAGGUGCGGACAACAACCGUGGAGAGAGAUCUAGGGAGUGAAGUCAAAGGGAGAUGCGUCAUGGAAACUCUAAGCCGAUGAUAAUUGCGACUGCAAGCGGACAAGUGCUAACAUUAACAACGAUGUUUGGGGGUAGAGAAAGGUGGCGACUCCAGGCCGAUUAGGUUGCGAGAGAGCGAUCAGGGAAUUUUGAGGACAUGAAUUUUCUAAAUUUGAGAACUAGAGUUUCAUAUGUGGUUUCAGUAACAUUAGAUUAUAAAAUAAUCAUUGGAUGCAUGAUAACUUAAUGUACAAUUUAUUUAACAGGGUAAACUGACGCUAAAUGCAGCCUAAGUGUAGACUAGCUCAAGAAUCAAACGCGCUAUUGCCUAGAUUGUAUCUGCUAAUCACAAACUUUUGUGCAACUUCCUUAUCUGAUCUCAAAUCUACGUUUUAGAUUCGAGCUCCUCCUCCUCCCCCAGUAAAACAUCACUUGAUUUUCAUUAUUAUAUAAGAUUUUGAAGAUAGACAAGGGGGCUUGAGCUUCAAGCUUCGUUAGGAGCUGAGCCGUCGACGUUGUCACCAUGUCAUUUCAUUUUGGUCCCCAUCGUCCUACGAGUCACCUCUCUCUCUCUCUCUCUCUCUCUCUCUAUCCUUGUGUUCUUUGCUUACUCUUUCUCCAUCUUUAUCCUCUCUUUAGCCAAGUCAUGAACACUGACCUUUAUCUUCUUCUCCUCGUCACCCAAACACGCAUAUAUAUCCACAAACGCACACACUCACCAAAACAGAUCACAAUAAAUUGUUCAACAUCGCUUCAAUCUUCUCUCACCAGAAGCUGACAUUCUGCUGGCAUUCCAAGAAUGGGAAACUGUUGCAGAGCUGAAUCUUCAUCAUCAACGAUCUGGGCCGGCGAUGACUGGAACUCACUGCCUCGUGAUGGAGGAGAAGGCAAGAAGGGGCUUCUUGAUGAUGCUGAUGGAAAGAGAGUUUCUUCUUCUUCUUCACGCAGGAGAGAGAUCAAGAUCCAGAUCAGUAAGAAGGAUCUAGAGAAGUUGGUGCACAAAAUCGAGGCUCAAGGACUGUCUCUAGAGCAAGUCCUGCCUCUUCUGAUUAACAAGAACACUUUCAAUCGUCAUCAGUUGGGUUUCACGAAGCACGGCUGUCAUCGUUCAUGGAGACCGGCUUUGCAAAGUAUUCCAGAGGCCAUCUAGAAGAAGUUUUCUGGUCCUUUUCUCAUUCCUUUGUACGUACAUGGGGUAAGGCAUAGGUUUUGGUUUUUUUUUUUUUUUCCUUUUUUCUUGAUAUAUGACAAUUUUCUUAGAAGUAGUUACAUAAUCUCCUCUAGUAUUAGGUUAUGUUUGGUUUGUGAAAACGUACUUUCACACAAUAUAUGUGCUAAUGCUACAAAUGAUUUGAUUGGGGAGAUAUUUAUUUGCAUUUAAAGACUUAUCCUUUUACCUAGAAAGGAUAAAUCGUAGUGUUGUGGUUUCUUCCUUCACUUCAGUUAGAUCGAGUGUCAUCACAUAAUCUAAUAAUCACUCGGAGAAUUAUAGAGUCACCAUCGCUCAACUACUUGAGUAUUUGACAGUUCUUUUACGCAUAUACCACCCACGGUAUUUAGUCUCAUGUCAUUACUCAAUAAAGCAAAAUCGCGGAUAAUUACCUCACCGCUUCCAAACGCUCACGCCUUCCUUGAGACAAGCAAUAUAAAUCGGAUGUACUGCACAAAUCACCGAGUGAAAUCCUUGAAGAAGAAGCUUUGAUAUUCAAACAGCGUAUAUACUUCUUUAGUACUGCUACAGAACAACUGAAAAGCAAAAACCGCCUCUUGAAGAAUUUAUAUGUCAUGAACCCACGUGGAACCUACUUCACCAAAAUAUCUUCCACAUAAAUAAAAGUCCAAUUCGAACUUGGAAACAACGGCAUAUAGAAGCGUCCAAGAAACCUCAUACUUUCCCAUUGGGGCUUUGACAUAUUUUAAUGUGGGUCCAGCGUCGUAUACCGGGCUAAAAACUCGCCGCAGCGACGACGGCAGGAUUUGCAGGUGAUUUCAUGAGAAUGAGGCAUAUGAUGGAAGGUGGAAGUAGAGGAGGCAAUAUCAGUAGCUAUCCUGCGAAUGCGGAUGUGGUCCUUAGGCGUUUUCUGAUGGACCGAUGGCUGAGGAAUAAUGGUCCGUCCGUGCCACGUACAUUGCUCUGGUUGUUCAUCAUGUUAUGGGGUGGCAGCUUGCAAAGACAAUCUUGUACGACAAUACUUUGAGUCUUACGAAUUCUGAGAUCUAAUGACUGUAUCGUGUUGGGGAAAGAAAGAAAAGAGAAAGAUCAUCUCAACCGUUAACCAUUUGAAUAAGCCAAUGAAGCAAAAGCAAAGUCAUUUCCAUCCCUUCAACCAGUUAAAGAAUGAAAGAACUGAUUCAUGGAUCUGCACUGGCAAUAAGCCUGCUUUCAAUCUAUCGGUGCAAAACCCUAAUGCCAAAGACUCAUAUCUCAGGCCGUAUUUCCUUACCAUCCUCUGUUAUCUCCUCUACAUGUGGAUGGAUAGCACUCCUGAUUUCCACUCAAUAAUGGUUCAACCAAAUGAGAUAUUUAGGGGGCUUGAUGUAACUUUGAAUCAUCUCUCUAUUGUAUAAAAUGGGAAAACUGUAAUUUUCCUUCUCUUGUCCACAAUAUCAGUCUAUUUUCCGGAGAUUCCAUUCCCACGAACUUGGGUGUUACGGAUGUUUCAGUCAAUUUCGGCUUUCUAUGUUCUUACUUAGCAUUAAAUUCUCCGCUACGUCGGUUCUCUAGAAGUGGGUAUAAACUUUUCCUACUUUGUUUGAGUCCUGCAAUUUAUUUGAUUUCGUCCCAAUGCUUACGACUUCCAAUGAACUUUUCCUUGUGAAAAUACUUCCGAUCACCUAAGACGCUGCUCAGAAUAUAAAGAAAUUAUUUCGUAUUUCGGUUCGUUGGAAAAAUUCUCCUACUUGAUUAUCAAUGUUUCACUAGUCGUGCUUUAUUUUUUGUAUUUUUUUAUAAUCUCGUAUCUAAAGCACAACGGCAAAAUAGUGUGCUUGAGUAGGUUUUGAGAAGCUAUCAAUCAUUUAUUAAUAUAUUUAUAAUAAUUUGAUUAAUAUAAAUAUUAAUUUAUUAAAAACUAUUUGAUAAUUUAUUAAAUAUUCGUCAUUUAAGUCAGCUUUUUAUUAUUAUUAAUUUAUGUAAUUAGAUUAUUAAAAAUCACAGUAUGGCCAUAUCUGAAAAUAAAUAUUAGUUCCAACUCAAAUCAAUCAAAUUAAUUUGUUUCGAUCAAUUUAUAUAUAAUAUAAAUUGAGAGUAUACUCGACUCAACCUACAUUACUUGAACACAUAAAUAUUAAAAAAAAAAAAAUUAUGCUAUGCACGUAGCGAUUUAUUGCGCACUUGUACAUCUUCAAAUCGAAUGAAGAUAGGUAUUAUUGCGUGUUGCCUAAUUAACUUCCCUCAGCAUAUAUUGGGAAACAUGAUAGGUUUACAUAUAUGUUGAGAUAAUUUUUUCCACUAUGUAACUUUUAUUCCUAGUUUAGUUUAUAAUAUUCAAAUUCAAUAUAUAAUAAGAUAUCUGUAAUUUAAAUUGGAGACUUUAACGAUAUUUCUCAAACUUUUUUCUUUGAAUUAUAGAAUUUUAAAUUUUUAUUUGUAGAUGAAAGAAUCAUUUGGAAAGCUCAUUUGAAGAAGGAAGGGACUUCGACUUGACGUGGAUCCGAAUAAAGUAGCUGAGUGGUUAGUAAAACAAUAUUUUCCAAGCCCACUUGAAUUAUUAAACUAUAUGUCAAGAUAAAUGAUCAGAGACGUUUUUAAAUAUAGCUUUUCACUAAACAAAAGUUUAUUUCAAAUGCGCUUGGGAAAUACUUUGGAAAAUGACAUAAAUAACCUUUGAAUUUUGACCCAAUUUACAAUGUGGUCGUCGAACUUCAACUUAAUGUUGUUGACAACUAAAUUUUGGCUACCAUAUUUAAUUCUUUAUUGCAUAAGAAAAUUAGAGGUUGGUCUAACCGCUAAACAAAAAUAUCAUUAGCAUUAUUCAUAUUUAUAUCACAUGCAAAUCACAUGGCCCUUUGCACAGUAUUAUCAUGUAUCAUUGUACGUGCAAUUGAAGAGACUUUUUUAAAAUGUGAUCGGACAUGAUGAGUUUGAACUCCACCCUCAACUCCUUGUUGAUGAAAUACAAUCUCUAACGGUUCGAUGGUUAUCUGCAAUUAUCAAUUCAAUUCUAUUUUGAAAAAGGAGAAAAAAUUAGGGUGAAGAGAAAUAUUUGGGCAAACUAAUCCACAAGUUACAAAAGAAAGGGAAAUAUGAUUGUAAGGUGAUUAAGGGUGCAUUUGGUUGGACUUUUUGGGAAAGUUAUUGGGAAAAUGCAAAGGAUUUUAGGUUGAAGGGAUUUUUCAGAAUGCAAAUUGUGUUUGGUAAAUUACAAUUUAAAAAUCCAUUGUGAAGUACCUUUGAGCAAAAUGGUGUUUGGGGGAAUUACAUUUACAAAGGAUAGGCGGCGAGGUCGCUCGACGCCGGCGAUCGAAAAUUGACCGGCAAGGGCAGGCGACUGCUGGCGAUCGAAAUUUGUCGCCAGCGGCCUACAUCUGACUCAAGCAGCCCCAGAGACGAUUGGGGAGGGCUGCCCGGGGUCGAGCGACCCCUGAAGACCACUAGCAAAGGCUGCCCGGGGUCGGGCGACCUUUGGCGAUCCCACCGCCCUCAGAUCUGGGGCAGUGAGGUCAACGAUGUCGUUGCCCCCGGAUCUGGGGUGGUGAGGUCGCGCAACACCGUUGCAACCUUCGGCGACCUAGGAUCUAGGGCCGCGAGGUUGCGUGACAUCACCUCGACCUUCGGCGACCUCGCCGCGACCUAGAUCCGAGGCGUUGAGGUCGCGGGAGGACCUUGCUGCCCCAAUCGUGCGACCUCGCCGCCCCUGGAUCUGGGUCGCGGGAGGUCGUGCGACACCGCUGCGACCUAGAUCCGGGGCGUUGAGGUCGUGAGAGGACCUCACCGCCCCAGAUCUGGGUCAUGGUAGAGUCGCGCGACCUCGCUGCCUUAAUCGCCUGACCUCGCUGCCCCCGGAUCUGGGUCGCGGGAGGUCGUGCGACGUUGCUGCGACCCAGAUUCGAGGGCGGCAAGGUCGCGUGACCCAAAUUGGGGGUGGCAAGGUCCUCUUGUGACCCUGUCGCCCAAGAUGGUGCAUUGGUCGCGCCACCCCUCGACGACGGUCAUCUGGGUGACGUUCGUUGGUGACUGCCUGCCCAUGAUUGCUUGCCCUUCGACGGCGACCGCUCGUAGAGAAGAAGAAGAAGAUGAUGAUGAAUAGUGAGGGCAAAACUGGAAAAAGGAAAAAUCAAUGAGGAUAAUUUGGGAAGAAAAUUUUUUUUAGCCCCUCAGUUCAGCAUUCUUGGCAUGCUAAAAGCCCAAGGCAGCCCCCAACCUGCUUUGGGCUUUCAGCCUUGUGAAGGCUGACAUUUUGCAAAGGGGUUUUGAAAUUUUUUUGCCAAACACCCAUCCUUGGCCCAAGGAUCUUUUGGGCUUCAAAGUAGCUUCUCAAGGCUACUCCCAAACGCACCCUCAGUUUGAAAAGUGAAAAAAGAAAUGUCAUUAUCUCCAAAAUUCUCUUCAAUAAGAAGAAUCCCUAGUGAUUUUGUGGGAAUAUGCUGCUUUCCUUGCCUUAGUGAAUAAUAUGUCUUUGCAUCGAGUUUGAUCAUUCACAUUCAAGAAAAAAUGUAAAAAGUUUGAUGUUUGCUUUCUUAUACCCCAGGUUCUGUUCCCCAUUCGAUGCUACGAUACCAUAAAAUGAGUGGAUGGGAUGUGUGUAGAUUAUUCUGGUCAAUACCUAAUGCGGUGAAUCGAUAGGACUUCCCGUCUAUUUGCAAACCAUAGUGUCAAACACUGAUAUCUCUACGUCACGAAAACUAAAGUUUCAUAAAUAUUCUCAAUUGUUGGAUAGCAUAAUUCCCCCGGUGAAAAUGACAUUGCCCCAAAAAUUUAAAUAUUGCAGUCUUUUGAUUCUCGAUUGAAUUAGUCUUUGGGUAACUUCCCAUCUAUCUGUUGUACAGAGCGGACCAUGAAAUUAGCCACCCCAUGUUGGCUUAACCCGGCUACAACAGGGCAAGAUAGAGCUAUUCGCACACACAAUCUGAAAAUGUCAAGUUUUGAUAUGAUGAUUGAUUAAUAAACAAGAGAAUUCAUUCAGUUAACUAUAAACAUAGUAAAUAGGGGGAGCCCUCAUCACUUAAUAGGGGUUGCAACGAGAACUGCUCGAACCAGGAAUUGCUUAGAGCGAACCAGACUAGCCGGUUUUGGGCGGUUCCCAAAGAGGGGGGGUCCGGUUCCCAGAUCCCACAUUUGGAAUUGAUGGUCGGUUGGUCAGGUUCCUGAUUCCAAGUUGGGAACAUGACUAAUCAAACUAAUUGGGCCGGACUAGUUAAUUCCUCCCAAUUUCUCCCAUUUUUCAUUUUAUUUUUGGCCCAGUUCCACUAGACUGGUCAGUCGGUCCAAUUCUUGAUUCCAGGACCACUCAGUUUAGUUCCCGGUCCCAGAAUCUAGAAACUGGUCCUCCAGUUCGAUUCCUGGUUCCACCUUAGAACUGGACCGGACCGAGAACUGAUCGGUUCGAUCACUUUCUUAAUCUAUUAGUUCUAUCUUAAAAAAGAGUGUUAGAAUAUUCAAAUAUUAAAUCAUACAUUCAUAUAAUGAUUUGAAUUUGUCGAGUAAUUGGGUGUGCUCCAUUUUCACCAAUGGACGGUGGAUGGAGUCUUAAGGACCACAAUCUCUCUCUCUCUCUCUCUCUCUCUCUCUCUCUCUCUCUCUCUCUCUCUCUCUUCUCUCUCUCUCUCUCUCUCUCUCUCUCUCUCUCUCUCUCUCUCUCUCUCUCCACAUAUGUGUAAACUCUAUAACUCUACAAGUCAUCAAAUUCAACUGUAUGAACCCAUCGCUAUCUCAAAUGAGGCCACAAUACCUUGUUCUCAUUGAACUUGGCCUCAACGACAACAAGAUUUCACCACGAUUAGAGUCAAGUUCGACGUCAUCAAUGACAAAAAGGCCAUGGUGCAGACGACGACUAUUAUGGUUAGCGAUGAAGAGAGAUCCAGAGAGCAAAGCCAAAAAGAGAAAUGCAUCAAUCAAGUUUGCACAUAUGUUGGCAUCAGAGUCAAUGAUUUUGGAGGUGGAAUGGUGCUGGCGUUAAAGUGGAUGGUUUGGGGUGCAGAGUCGUGGCGACUUCAGGCAGGUUAGAGCUUUGUAUGUGGUUACUAAGGCUAGAUUAUUAAUGACCAUUGGACCCACCAUAAGUCGAUAUAACAAGGUAAAUCGACCCUAAGCGGACAAUACAUCCAGCAUUCAAACAUGUCAACAUUGCCUAGAUUAUGUCAAUAUACGCCUUACCCUACUUGAUCUCAAGUCAACUUCUAGAUUCAAACUCUCUCCCAACAUAACAUCACUUGAUUUCCUUUGGAAUCUUGGGCAUCAUUUCCCCAACGUGGUCAUCCUCCUCUAGUCUGAAGGCUGAUGCCACAUCAAAACUUGUCUAGCCAUCUAGAAAAUUAUUUGCAAAGAGAAAGUGGGGCUCGAGCUACUUCUUCAAGCUUGUCAAGUAGCCGAGCCGGUUUGACGUUUUCGCCGCCAUGCUAUUUAAUUGUGGUCAUGCUCAUGCAUGAGAAAAGAUCAUACGAUUAGUCACCCCCUUCUCUCUCCAUCGUCCUACGUGUCACCCCCUCCCCCCUUCUCUCUCUAGAUUGCUUACUGUUUCUCCAUCUCUAUCCUCUCUCUCUCUCUCUCUCUCUCUCUCUCUCUCUCUCUAAAACUAAGUCAUGAAUCCAGACCUGGACUUCUUCUUCUCCUUCGCCACCCGUACGCAUAUAUAAAUGUCCGUAAAAACCCACAGCAGUCACCGAAAACACCGCAGGAUAGGUUGUUCAAUAUCGCUUCAAUCUUCUCUUACCAGAAGCUGACAUUCUGCUGGCAUUCCAAGAAUGGGAAACUGUUGCAGACCUGAAUCUUCAUCAUCAACGAUCUGGGCCGGCGAUGACUGGAACUCACUGCCUCGUGAAGGAGGAGAAGGCAAGGAGAGGCUUCUUGAUGAUGCUGAUGGAAAUAAAGUUUCUUCUUCUUCUUCUUCUUCUUCACGCAGGAGAGAGAUCAAGAUCCAGAUCAGUAAGGAGGAGCUAGAGAAGUUGGUGCAGAAAAUCGAGGCUCAAGGACUGUCUCUAGAGCAAGUCCUGCCUCUUGUGAUUAACAAGAACACUUUCGAUCGACGUGGGUCGGGUUUCACGAAGCACGGCUGUCAUCGUUCAUGGAGACCGGCUUUGCAAAGUAUUCCAGAGGUCAUCUAGAAGAAGUUUUCUGGUCCUUUUCUCAUUCUUUUGUUCUUUGUAUGUACAUGGGGCAAGGCAUAGGUUUUGUUUUUUUUUUCUUCUUCUCGAUAUAUGACAAUAUUCAUAGAAGUAGUUACAUAAUCUCCUCUAGUAUUAGGUUAUGUUUGGUUUGUGAAAAAAUACUUUGACACAAUAUAUGUGAUGAUGCUACACAUGAUUUUAUUGGGGAGAUAUCUAUUUGCAUUCAAAGAUGUAUCCUUGUAACUAGAAAGGAUAAAUCAUAGUGUUGUGGUUUCUUCCUUUACUUCAGCUUGAUGGAGUGUCGGUUUGCAAAAGAUCUAAUAAUCACUCCGAAAAUUACAGAGUUACAAUUACUCAACCACUCAGCUAUUUCACGGUUUUAGUAUGCAUAAACCCACCGUGUUUAGUCUCAUGUGAUUACUCAGUAAGCUAAAUCAUGGAUAACUACCUGCCCGCUUCCAGACGCUCAAGCCUUCCUUGAGACAAGCAAUCCAAAUUUGAUGUACUGCCCGAAUGACCGAGUGAAGCCCUUGAAGAAGAAGCUUUGAUAUUCAAACAGCUUAUGGACUUUUUUUGUACUGCUACAGAACAACUGAAAAGCAAAAACCGCCUCCAGAAGAACUUAUAUGUCAUGAACCCACGUUGAAACUGACUUCACCAAAAUAUCUUGCACGUAAAUAAAAGUGUCCAAUUUGAACUUGGAAACAACGCCAGAUUUAAGCAUCCAAGAAACCUCAUACUUUUCUAUCGGGGAUUUGACAUACUUUAAUGUGGGUCCGGCGUCGUAUACCGGGCUAAAAUCCCGACAUAUAUUAACCGCAGAGACGAUGGCAGGAUUUGCAGGUGAUUUCAUGAGAAUGAGGCAAAUGUUGGAAGAUGGAAGCAGAGGAGGCAAUAUCGGUAGCUAUCCUGCGAAUGCGGAUGUGGUCCUUAGGUGUUUUCCGAUGGAACGAUGGCUGAGGAAUGGUGGUCCGCCCGUGCCAUGUAUAUUGCACUGGUUGUUCAUCGUGUUAUGAGGCGGCAGCUUGCAAAGGCAAUCUUGUACGACAAUACUUUGAAUAUUACGAAUUCUGAGAUCUAGACUGCGUAUGAUAAAAUUUCUGUUUCUUGAUUUCUCUAUUUUUUUGUUCCCCGGAACAGGUUUGGAACAUAAAUCCAUUUGGUAACGCAAUUUGAUUUAUCUAUUUCUGAAACAGAUUUCUAUUCCAGAAAUAGAUUUGAAGAAGAAAUCAGAAGCUAAAAUUUUUAGCUUCUCAGUUUCUGAAAUAGAAAUUGAGAAAUCAAUUUCUGUUUUAGAAAUUUUGUCAUGCACACCAUUAAUGACCGUAUCGUGUUGGGGAAAAAAAGAAAAGAAAAAGAUCAUCUCAACCGUUAACCAUUUGAAUAAGCCAAUGAAGCAAAAGCAAAGUCGUUUCCAUCCCUUCAACCAGGUCAAAGCCUGAAAGAACCGAUUCAUGGAUCUGCAUUAGCAAUCAGCCUGCUUUCAGUUUAUUGGUGCAAAACACUAAGUCAUGUCAAACGCUCAUAUCUCAGGUCAUAUUUCCUUACCAUCCUCUGUUAUCUCCUCCACAUGCGGAUGGAUAGCACUCCUGAUUUCCAUUCAAUACAGGUUCGACCAUAUGAAAUAUUUAGGGGGCUUGAUGUAAAUUUGAGACAUCUCUCUAUUGUUUGAAAUGGGAAAACUGUAAUUUCCCUUCUCUUGUCCACAUCAUCAGUCUAUUUUCCGGAAAUUCCAUUCACGGGAACUUGGGAGUGUCAGCUGUUUCAGUCAAUUUCGGCAUUCCAUGUUCUUAUUUAGCAUAAAAUUCUCCGCCAUAUCAGUUCUCUGGAAGCGGGUAUAAACUUUUCCUACUUUGUCUUCGAGUCCUGCAAUUUAUUUGAUUCCAGACCCGAGGUUUAUGACUUCCGAUAAACUUUUCCUUGUAAAAACACUUCCGAUCACCUAGGAAGCUAUUCAGAACAUAAAUAAAUUAUUUCAUAUUUCGGUUCGUUGGAAAAAUUCUCCUACUUGACUAUCAAUGUUUCGUUAGUCAUGCUUUAUUUUUUGUAUUAACUUAUAAUCUUGUGUCCUAAAAGCAUGAUGGCAAAAUAGUGUGCUUGAGUAGGUUUUGAGAAGCUACAAAUCACUUAUUAAUAUAUUUAUUGAAAUUUGAUUAAUAUAAAUAUUGAUUUGUUAAAACUAUUUAAUAAUUUAUUAUAUGUUCAUUAUUUAAGUCAGUUUUUAUAUUAAUUUACGUAAUUAGAUUAUUAAAAAUCACGAUAUGGCCAUAUCUAAACAUUAAUUAUUAGUUCCGACUCAAAUCGAUCAAUUUAAUAUGUAUUCAUCAAUUUAUAUACAAUACAAAUUCAGAGCUCCAUACUUGGUUCAAACCAUACCCUAUGUGUACCUGACUCAACUGACAUUACUAAAACACAUAGUUAUUAAAAAACAAGAACUUUUAUGCUAUGCAUAUAGUGAUUUAUUCCGCACUUGUACAUCUUAAUAGGUACUAUUGUGUGUUGCCUAAUUAACUUCCCUUAGCAUAUAUUGUGAAACAUGACAUAUUUACGUAUGUGUUGAGAUAAUUUUUCUACCAUAUAACAUUUAUUCCUAGUUCAAUUUACAGUAUUAAAUUCAAUAUAUGAUAAGAUAUCUAUAACUUAAAUUGGAGUUUUUAACGACAUUUGUCAAGCUUUUUUCUUUGAAUUAUAAGAAUUUUAAAUUUUUAUUUGCAGAUGAAAUAAUAAUUUGGAAAUCUCAUUUAAAGAAGGAAGGGGCUUUGACUUGACGUGCAUCCUUAUGAAGUAGCUGAGUGGCUAGUAAAAUAGGUUUUUCCAAGCCCACUUGAAUUAUUAAACUAUAUGUCAUGAUAAAUGGGCGACUGAGCAAUGUCUUAUUGCUGAAAAGUUUCCCACUGGGAAAAGCAAGGAGCCUGUGUACGAGGUCAAAGACACAGAGCCAGUUCAAGACCGGGGCACGACGGGACAGCUCCCCAAGCUUACUGCAAGAGCUAGGGUUCAAAGAAUACUGACCCCUAUCAACCUAGAGAGGGAAGCAGAGAGUGAAGCUCCACUAUCUCUCACUCUCUUUGAUAGAAUCGAACUAGCAAAAUGAAGGGCCUUACUCAAAAGGUCUGGACUAAGAGCCAAGAAAAGAAAGCCUAAACAAAUCAAUUCAACAUCUACCACUGAGUAUAGGUGAAAUUUGAUAGCUGAUGGCCGCCGCACCAAAACUUCGAGCAUUCCCUGGAAUACAACCCUGAAGACUUCCAGUCCCUAGGAUACAAUCCCAAGGACUACCAGUGUUAUAUAGAUGAAAUCAGUCAUUCAUCGUAUAACUGCUUUCUACCCACACACAGGGUCGAAAGCCUGUCAGAAGAGGGAACAUUCGUCCUUAUCCGCUAUGAUCCCAAUGAACUACUAAGCUUGUUACCUGACCAUGAAGAUAGCUUAAAUGCCUCAUCCUUGUUUGGUGAUUUUGACCCGGAAGAAAGCAAUGGGAUAAUCUCGGCAGAGUCCAAUUUCCUUGAAAUAGAAAAAUUCACCAUUACAACGAAUAUGCAAUGGGAAAACCAGUGGCCUAACCAGGAUACAUCAAACCCAUCUUGCACUCAUAAGAUCAUGACCCUUGGAGAGAUGUGGAUACCUAAUCUCCGCAAGUAUAAUGGCUGUUGACACCUAAAUUUUGGCAACCCAUUUAGACAUUUAUCAUAUUAAAAAAUUAGGGGUUAAUUUUAUCCCUAAAAAAUAGUUAAUCGCAUAGCAUAUAGUUUUAGGUGCAUUUAUUUUUUAUUUGCAUUUACAUUGGAUUGGUGACGGAUGGAUUUGAAUUGAUGGUUCAGAAACUUUAAGUUGAUGAGUCGGGCUAAGCCCACGAAGAAAGCAAAUCGGUCCAAGCCCGUAUCCUCGGAGAUAUUUUACGGAUUUAUCUUUGUGAGAUUUCAAUUCAAAAGCAAAUAUUACGUUUGGAAAAAAACAAAUAUUGCAUUUCGAAAAGAAAUAUCCGUGGAUAUGGAUUUGGAAAAUCUAAAAACCCUAAUCCGUGCUCUAUAAAUAAGAAAACAUACGUAGGGUUUAGGGGGGCCACACACAUUGAACAUACAGCCACACGUUGAGAGAAUAGAUAGAGUGGAGGAUCCAAUAGAGAAUAGAAACUGAAGUUAUUUAUGCUCUUUGGGUCCCAAUUCCGAGAUCGCUCCAUCACCGCCUCCGAGAUCCACUAGCCAUAGUUGUUGCUGCCAGACAUCCACGUUGUACCUGCACCGCGACGGCCCCCUCUUGGCCAAGCUCUUCCCUUUCACUACAGCGAAUCUCUUUUUGUUUCGCAGGUUCUCGAAUAAGCAGCACUGAGUUUUUCUACCGUGCCGUGAGCCAUGACAUCGCUGCCGUUGUCGAGCUGAGACCAGUUUGGUGCCUUCCCGCAACAAAAUCAUUCUUUAUUUUGCAGGUUCGCUGUGAGACUAUCUCGGUGAACAUCUGAGCAUCCCCCUCACCGUCAGCCCAUGCUUGUGCGUGGUCACCACCUCCAUCGAGAAGUCCACCGAGUGAGUUGCUCCUUCCCUAGCCGAGAAUUAUUGAACCGGCAGGCUUCACCAAGCAGCCUGUACUGAGAGUCCCACCAUCGGUCCAUACGUGACACCAUCACUGCGGAUUCCUCAUCGACAAAGCUGCUGCCGCACUGAGACCAACUUCAGGCGUAAACCGAGGGGAUCAUCAAGCUAUCAAGGGAGUUUUCAAUUCUCAAUAAAAAUUCCACUUUUCUUUCUCUAUAGUCACGUACAAGGGACACAUAUCAUACCCAUGUGAACAUCUAAAAAUAAGAGAAGAAGAGUUUUCUGGUUUUCUCAUGGCUUCACUUUCCUGACGUGGUUAUUAUAUGUUUAAUGCACUGCCACACACAGUCACGACAUCCAUUGAUCGCAGACACCACCUGGCGCAAAUCCAGCCCGCUCCAUUGAUUUUCCCAGAUUUGUUGAGCAGUUCGUUGCGACGAUUUCAGUCCAAUUUAGCGAGCUGCCACAACCACCGCGAAGUAGUCCCUCCUCAGCCGGAUAUCACCGUGAAUCAUCCAUCAUCGCGCUCGACUUUUCUUUUGUAGAAUUCACCGCGAGCCCCAACCUCAACGACUAAGCCGUUGACCCGAUAUGCCACGAGCUCUACGCUCACCGUUAAGUUCUAGCGAUUCCAGGCAUGGUUCUUUUGCCGAAAGCACUCACGUUGAAUAUUCCAUAUGCUGCAUGAAGACAAUUCCACUUGCUGCAUGAAGAAGAUCCAUUGACUUUGACUGAAAAAGAGGCCACCCGCUCUGCCGCGCCUACAAAUCAUCCGCGAGCGUCUUUGUCCAACCCCGAUCUCCACCGACAGCGGGAGAUUCGUUGUCAAAGGAACACCACCAUUACAGCAUACAACGUUCCUGAUUCAAGCAGCCACGAGCCAAGUCGACUUUCGAAGUUUCCAUUUUUGCAGGCUCAUCGAACUGUGCCGGCUUCGAUUGUGAAUCUCCGUGCCGUCGCUGCUCGCCACCAUCCGUCGUGUUUCACUGUCAAGGAGCCAGUUGCAAUCCCGAUCCAAUUACGCUUGGUCCAAAUUUGGAAAGAAUAUCCUUGAAUUAGGUAAGACUCUCGAUCAAUUUGAUUUUCAUAUAUCUCGCUGCUUAAUUCGAAAUAUCGCAAUCUUUCUUUGAAUGUUUGAUUGAUAUUGCCAUAUCCAAAAGAUCUCUCGAUUCCUCAUGAAUUAGGAAUUUUCCUAAUUUCACAACGUACAUAUGAUUGACAGUCCGAUUUCACGCUCGAAAUACAACUUGCAAUCGCACGGAAAAAUCGCCAAUCCGAUCUCACGCUCGAGAUACGAUUCGCGAUUUUAUUUGAAAUUGGCCAAUCCGAUCUCAUGCGCGAGAUACGAUUCGUCAAUUUAUUUCCAAAAUGGACAUGGAUGAUAUAUUGCCUGAUUUGUUGCCGUGCUGUUCUUGAUGUCUUAUUUUGAUUGCUCCCGUAAAAGAAAAGAAAAAAAAAACAGAGUUAGAUUAGGUUCGUUUUAGAAUAUUCCUCGUUUUAGGGUUAUCUUGCAUGUUUAGAAUAGGAAAUUUAUUUAUAUCGAAUUUAAAAAAAAAUGAAAAAUCCAAAAAAAUGCAUUCGUUUAGGAUGUUAGUUUUUUUUAAGUUGCAUGUUAAUUAUUUUCCAAUCUUAAUUUCGAAUUUUUAUUAUAAAAAAAAACACAAAAAUCACCAUGCAUAUGUCAUGUAGAAUUAUGGCAUUCUUUGUACGUCAUUGCAUAUUAGGAUAAAAUUGCAUAUUUCAUUUUAAGUUUAGAUUGAAUUUUUAGAUAGAUUGCAUCUUAAGUUAGAGUUUGCUAAGUUAAGAUUAUAUCUUAGUUUAAAUUAGGGUUUAGCCUGACAUAAUCCUUAAUACAAAUUGAAUAGAAUCUUAAGCUAGCUAGAUAAUCCUUGCAUUUUUCUAAUUUCGAAUUUCAUGUAAAAUACAAAAGAAAUUGUCUUAGAGUAAAUCAAUUUCAUUCUUUAGGAUAGAUUGCAUGCUUAUAUUUUAUUUAUGUCAUAUUACCAUGUCAUAUCAUUUCAUUAGUAGCAUGCAUUGCAUAAAGCAUGAUUCACAUUAAAUAAAGUGAAAACCAAAAAAAGAAAUUGCGUGUUAAUUAGAAAUCAUAUCUAGGGUUGAUGAUGUGAAUUCUGAUCUAACAACGCAGAUGCUUUCGUUGCUAUGAGGUAAGUCCUGCAAUUUAUUCAUUGCUUUUCUUGGGUGUUAAAUUGGUGGUUUGCACACCCGCAUGAUCACAUCAUAUGUUAGGAAAAUAGAUUUAAAAUCAAUUCAAGCUGCUUGCCAAACAUUUUUUCAAAAAUAAAAGAAAAGGUACCGAAAGGGCGUUAGAGAAAUCUAGCGUAACCAAGUCCCCGAACUCAUAAAUCUCUAGUUCGUAGGAGUAAAGUAAAUCUCCCAUUACUUUACUUGGGUUUCUAAUCGACCCACCAAAAAUAGAUUAGUGGCGACUCCUAAUUAAAAAUCAAUUGCAUGUUAAAAAACUUGAACCUAAAGUCGCGAAUUGGUAUGGGCUUGGGAGAGCCCGAGUUAAGUCUAGGCUUAACAAUCCAUUAGCCAAACCCUAGGUGGUUCACACCCCGAAAAAUGGGUCGCGACAAUGGCAUGACUUGCCUAGUGGCUCAUUUGUAAUAUCUCCACGCUGAAAUGAGUCGGUACUAUAGCCCGAUGUCAUUCACAACUCGGGCAUUCCAAGAAAGUCUUACAGGGCCUGCAUUGCAAUGGUUUGUCACAGCAGAUAUCUACCUAACGAGAGAUGGGAAUGAGCUAUCUUCUGCAUUCUUGCUUCAGUACCAAAGCCAGAUUGGAACUGAAUUGCCUUGCGAGAACUUGGUUCACUUUAGAAGAAGACCAAUGGAGAACUUCUGAGCAUAUGCAAGGAGGUGGAAGGCUUUUAUGAUGCAAACCUACCUUCAACUAGCCGAAGAAGAAAUGAUGAAGCUGUUCAUAGGAGCCUUACCUCGCAAACAUCGUUGUUGGAUACAUGGUUUGCACUUCUGUAACUUCAAUGAAGUGGUCCUCUCAUGUGAAUACUUCGAGUCUACUGGAGACGAGGAACUCAAAGGUGCUUGAUUUCAGAACCAGUACUAUCAAAGUGCUCAUUUUUCAUAGGAGUUUUCGUGGGUUUUGCUUGUUUUUAUAAUUUCAUGUUUUCUUAUCCUGCCUAGUGUUCUACUGUUGCAUUUUUCAUUCCAGUAAUCUAAUGUACAGUUAUAAUAUUUUGUUUUGAGAGUAUGAGGCGGUAUUCCAAACCAGCUUGGUGAUGCUAUCCAACCAUGAAAAGAAAAUAUCAUCAAAGGAGAAUACUGAGAGCUGGGCUUCCUCAUGCUUUCUUCGCCCAAAAGAUAUAUACUUUUGAAAACAAAAAAUGUUUCAUUACCAAAAGCUUUUGAACAAGAUGAUAAAUUUAAUCAUACUUGUCUUUCUGACUCACUCACUUUGUGUCUCAGAAUAUCAUCACCAUCCCCAUUGACUUAGUGUGACAGGGGGCAUUUGAAGCUAGCGCAUCAUGUGAACUCGCGGAAUUCAAAGACACUCUUCUAGCAAGACAAUGGGGCAAAAAAAAAAGAUCAUCCCACAUAAAAGAAGGUAAGUUUUAUUCUUUGAAUAUAAUUUUGGAAAUGAUGUAUUCUCUCUCCUAUUUAUAGGAAACGAAAGAUGGGACGUAAUAGGUACAGACAUACGGUUGAAAUCAAGCCGUCCCCAAGAGCUCUGUGCACUCUACCUCGCUCCUGCCCAACUCCUUCUCAAGUCGAAACGAUAUCUUUUCCCCACAACGUGCCUGAGCAACUAGACGUUGUGGUUUCAUCAAUGGGAUUUCCAGCUUUGACAUGCCAAGAAGCACAUAAAAUGAAUUUCUUCUCUUGAAUUGGCUACUGUCAACAGGGAGAAAAUCUAGACAGUUAAGGCAGUCUCUAGGCCCCUAUUUCAGAUGAUGACAUUAGGGCCUAGAAACCCCACUUCGUGCUCCAGAUGCAUGCUCUCCCAAGAAGUGAUUGCCAUCGGAGAAUUGGAGGUUUUGAUUGUCCAUCUCAGAUUCCAUAGAAGCUUGAAGUACAUGACUUUGCUCAAUGCUGCUAUAGUCAAAGACAGAAGAAAAAUUCCAUAGAAGGAAGGCGCUGAAGAUAAAUUGACAACCAUCAAUCAUGCAUACAUGGCCAUGAGUGAGGAAGGCCAAUCGAAAGAAAUGUCAAACUGUGCCAAGACAAAAAGGCUUUCAUCGACAUUCAAAUACCCCUAGGAGUCAGCAAAUACAAACUUUGGAGAAGAGUAAUUUGGUAUCGUUUCCAAUACUCCCCCCUCUCUGAAUUCACUUUUGACAUAUUCCCCAUAUUAGCAAGAAGCAUCAGGAUUCAAAAGCCGAACUUGUUGGUUAGGUUUGGCAAAUCAAUAUUGGCCAAGCUAGUACGUGGAAAUGACCCACAUCAAAUUCACCUGGCUUUGUGUAAAAGGAUGUGUCAUCCAGGAGCCAAUUCAAAGAAUAAUUGACCUAACGAAGCAGGGACAUAGGACUUCGUGUCCCCUUCUCACUUCAGGUUUACCCAAUCAUUUGCAAACCAGUGAAGGGUAAAAUUGUAUUGCUUCCAGUUAUUCGACUCUUGAAAGAGUUCAUGACUAACACAUUCCCUUUUAUCUGUUGUAGGAUCGCUUGACCGUAAAAAAUGUGGAUAACAAAUCAAUGAAAGAUAUGUCAAACUCUAAUAGGCUCUCUUGAGCGAAAUGGCAUCCUGAGUAAUCACCAAAGCAAAUGACAAAAAAUCUUCAGGCCUCAACUCACAUUUGAUUCUAGCCAGACUAAUUGAUCUACUUGUACAUCUUCUCUUCUGUGGGGGCAAAAGUAGAGAUGCCCGAUCAGAUUCCCAAUCCUUGGCUGAUCAUUCAUGUGUCAUAUCCCUAAUCAAUAGGGACAACCAUCGACACAUCCAUUUGCGAAUAAGCCUUUUGAUGCUCAAAACUGAACAUAUUUGGAAGCACCAUUAUGUUAGCCCCUAAAGUUGUCAAUAGGGUCUUUUUUGAGUCAAAACUAUUCAUUUAUUUUGAGAGUACAAACUCCAUCACACUUAAAAUGCUGCAUGCUUUUUUUCAAAUGGAUUUUGCAUGAUAAUUUUGUCUAUAUAAAUCAUUGAUUCCAUUGAGAAUUAUUAGAAUAGAUAGCUAAGUGAAGACUACAAGAUUAAUUGAGCAUGUUGGAUGAGGUGCGUCAGAAUGAUGAAAGGCAAGCCAUAUCCUACACACAAUUCCCCCCAUCUAUACACUUGUGAGAUGAGUGCAGAAGAUUCCAUGGCUGCAGGGUAAAGAGUUCUCUCGCGAAUGGUACGAUAACCAAAAUAGUGAGAGGCAUUCCAGCGCUCACCCAUUGAGCUCCAUACACUGGUGAAAUUUUUGCCUUACCCCCGUCAAGAACCACCCCACACUAGGACAGAUCAGAGGCGAAGCAGCAUCACAAGGUGAGAAGAGAGAUAGAAAUUUUCUUGCUCGCACUUGCAUCAAUCUUCGGGUGUCUUUAUUGCAUAUGAACACUCGCGUUAAUUUAAGUGCCUUAGAAUGACGAAGAGCAAUUCCCUUUCUAUGCAUUUGUAUACAUUGUACAACCUAAGUGAGUUUGUAAUUUUACCCUCACAUUGAGACAAAGCAAAAGUUAUUGCCAUAGCCUAGAGCGCUGGCUGAAGAUGAAGACUCUAGAGUCUAAAUAAUGGUGCUUCGAUUAAACUUGCCUAGAUCAGUUCCUCAAAAAAAAAAAAAAAACUAGGGGCAUAAAAAGCAGUGUACCUGGUAAAAGUAAGGUCAAAUGUCCAUAAAUGAAAUGUUGGGAUAAAAAAUAGGGGCGUGAAAAAGCAGUGUGCUUGGUAAAAGCAAGGUCAAUGCCCCUAGCAAAAAAAAACAAUCAAUUGUAUUCCCAAGAGAAGUUGUUGUUGUGGUUUGAUUCAUAGAGCCUCCAUCUGACAGUGAGAAGAAAGAUUGGUGACAAAUGCCAAGGCAAUCACCAACUCUCACCCUUUUACACAUGAGCCAAGUCUACAUUGCGUCCCAUUGUAAAAGUCUCUUCAGACUAGGAACACUCUAAUUAAUGUAGGAUUUCAUAUGUUUAUAAGCAUCACUUGAAGAAGUACGAGCAAGAUUAUUCUAUCUCUUUUCGCAGGAUUCUUGACUUGCAAACCCGGAGAUGAUCGUACAACAUUUCGUCCAUCGGCUUCGACCUUGAUGAUCCCAUUUGAUGAGCCGCUGACCAAGACUUCAUCGUGGUUUCGACAAAGACCUCUCUCAUUGGUAAAGUCAUACCAUUUGCGAGAAUACUCGGACCCCUGGUGACAUGAUGACAGUGAGAUAGUGUGAUCCUUAUAAAUCCUGCAUCAAUGGUCAUGAUAGCAUUUUCCAUGAGAGUGAGUGGAAAGUCUUUUUAGACUGAAAGUCCCUCAUUUGGCAUGCUCAAGAUAUCUACAUUCUAAAUGAAUGUUAUCUUUCAAAAUCUUCUCCAGUGGAAGUCAGAUGAUGCAAAACUGACAAAAUUAUCAUGCAUGAAUCUUAUUUGAACUCAUGAAUUUACAACACAUAUAAUCAUGUGUGCAUAGUGUGCAAAUAGUAGACAUACUCUCAGAGAUUAGAGAUAUUGCCAGGUAAGCAUAUCCCUAUCCCCAUUUGUCUUAAAGUACCUACCACUGUCCAGGUACUCUCUUCUUGACACUCGACCUAUUCGAGUUGUCCUUUAAGUUUGGGUGCUUGCAAUUGUCUAAGUAUCCCCUUGUCUUUGAGUACCCACCACUUGCCGGGUACUCCUUCUUAUUGACACUCGACCUGUUUGAGUUGUCCCCAGAGUAUUGAUAUUUGCGACUGUCUAGGUAUUCCCCUGUUUUUGAGUGCCUGCCGUUACUCAGGUGCUCCCUCUCUUGACACUCGACUUAUUCGAGUUGUCUUUAAAGUUUGGAUGCUUGUGACUGUUCAAGUAUCCUCUUGUCUUUGAGUACCGGCCACCGUUUUGAUACUCCCUUUCCGUGACACUCGACCUGUCCAAAUUGUCCUCAAAAUUGUGUCAAUGAAUACUAGCAACCGUUCAAGUAUUCCACCACAUUGUGUGCCUGUGAUUACCUAGGUAAGCCUCGUGCUACAUUCAAAUUCCCAAUUACCAAGAGGUGAGAGACCUUCACGAAUAUCCCAGGUAUGUCCUCGAUAUUCCCAUUUACCAGAAGGUGAGAGACCUUCACGAAUAUCCAAGGUACGUCAUCGAUAUUCCAAUUACCAGGAGGUGAGAGACCUUCAUGAAUAUGCGAGGCACGCCCUCAAUAUUCCCAAUUGCCAGGAGGUGGGAGACCUUCACGAAUAUCCAAGGUACGCCAUCGAUAUUCCCAACUACUAGGAAGUGAGAGAUUUUUAUGAAUAUCCAAGAUACGUCAUCGAUAUUCAUAUUACCAGGAGGUGAGAGACCUUUAUGAAUAUGCGGGGCACGUCCUCGAUAUUUCCCAUACUAGGAGGUGAGAGACCUUCACAAAUAUGCGGGGCAUGUUCUCGAUAUUCCCCAUACCAGGAGGUGAGAGACUUUCAUGAAUAUCCAAGGUACGUCCUCGAUAUUUCAACUACCAAGAGGUGAGAGACCUUCACAAAUAUGCGAGACCCAUCCUCGAUAUUUCCACAUACCAAGAGGUGAGAGACCUUCACGAAUAUCUUAGGCACCCUCCAGAAUUCGUACUUGUAAUCAUCCAAGUACUGUUUCGACACCUGCAAGCAAUCAGGUACUCCUUCAACACCUGCAAACAUCCAGGCACCCUUCAGAAUUCGCACUUGUGAUCAUCCAAUUACCCUUUCGACGCCUUCAAAGGCCCAAUUGGUGUCCUUCACAGAGAUCAGGCACCCCACAAAUUGAUGCUCUGAGAACGGUCGGCGCAUCCCCUGAGAAAGGUCGGGUAAACAAUUUAUUGCUCUAACAGGUGACCGAAGAAUGGUUUGGGUCCUGCAAGAACAAUUUCCUGUCAAGGCAACCGGAGAAAGGUUCGGGUCUUAGAGAAGCAACCUUCUCACAUUACCAGGUAAGAGCAUGCCCUGAUAUUUACCAAGCUCGGGGUUCACACCCUAUCUCACUCACUCCCGGUAAGUAACUACAGGUAUCUUAUUAUCUGUCUUAGUAUGUGUAAUGUUAUAUUGCUCAUUUUCUACAUAGGACACUAGGUCCCAAAUAAGAUAUAAUCUAUUGCAUAUGUAUAGAUAAAAUUUAGGUAUCAGGUUUGUUUUUGAAUGCAACCUCUGUGAACUCACAUUCAAAGAGGGGCAACUGUUGACACCUAAAUUUUGAUUAGAUUAUUAAUUAGGCUUUAAUUUCUUUUAUUUUUCAUUCUUUUAAAUAAUAAAAACAAAAUAAUAAAAACAACAAAAAAAUAAACAAAAGCAAAGAAAAAACAAAAAGAAAAGCAGAAGCCAGCAGCCACAAGGGCUGGGCCUUCAAAGCCCAGCCCCUCUCCUCUUUUCUUUUCCUUUGCGCAGGUCCGCGAGGCCCAGCCACGACCUAACCCGGCCUAUGCCCCCCUUGUCUUCUUCCUCCUUGGCUUCUCCCUUCACGCCUCUACAACACACGCGUAGUGAGUAGCAGCUAUGGUUUCGGCGCGCGCAUAGGCCAAUUGGUGACGGAUGGGACGUGCCUUCAAAGCAAGCAAGUGGGUAGCCGAGGUGACGCCGGUUCGGCCGCACCAAGGCCGGUCGGCACACGGAGGAUCGGCGGCCAAACCUCUCCGUCGAUCGGACUCCCUCACCUAUAAAUAGGCCAGCACUACCUCUAUUGAAGGACACACGGAAGCGGCGAAAGAUCGAAAGCUGCAGAUCUUUGAAACCUCCCAUUGAGAGACUUCAGAAGGGGGGCCAAGGACGAGCAGACCGAGAUCUGAGAGCUUGCGGUCGGAGAGAGAGCGAUUGAAAGCGGGCGAGCGUCACAAGCUUCCCUCGAGAGACUUCAGUGGAGGCCCGAGCGCUCGCAAGCCCAGAUCUGAGGGAGGGAGAGAGAUCUGAGCGGAAGGGGCUGAGCGAGAGAAGAAUCGGAGGAGAGAGGGUCGAGAUCUGGGCGCAGAUCUGGAAAUCCACUGUGUCGAGUCGCCCUAAGCCAAGCUACAGCCGUCCCCGACGUCACAGCACCAGAUCUCUGCCGAAGCUGAGAGGCCACCAUCGCUGCCCUGUCGUCGUCACCUCCACCAUUUGUCACCUCGUCGAGCUGUUGUUGCGAACACGUAACAGUAGCCGCCGCCUGUCGCUGCUUCGCUGUCGUAGCCCCCUCUCUUGAACUCCAUCUUCCACUGAAUCUCAAUCUCAGCAAGUUGGAGCCUCCCCCGUGUAUUCUGUCGCCGUACCACAGGUCCCGUCGUCGAUCUAGUCAAGCGGUCGGCUACCGGCUGCUACGUCGCCGUCGUUGGACAUUGGGCUGCCCCCCCCCCCCCCCCCCCAAAACCCUCCGAUCAGCGUUGUAGGUAGAUGGAAGGAGAGAGGGUCGCGAAACCGGGUUGAGCCCGGGUUGGGCGUAUGACCCAGUGCUCUAGGGUUUCAUUAAGCCGGGUCAAGUUGUCGGACCCGGGUAGGGUUUCCUUCGAGUCGGGCCGGGUCAUGCAUGGACUAAAUUCACACAGGCCUUAGAGAAGUGGGCCUAUUUUUGGGCCAGGCUUGUUUUCCACCAAAGAAAAAAAAAAGCAAUAAAAAAGUUCGAGUCGGGCUCGCAACGCGGGCCCAUCCGGAUCUCGGGUCGACGACCAGGUUGGACCCAACCCUGGAUCCGACCCGGUUCGGUUUUUUUUUUUUUUUUUAAAUAAUAAUAAUAAUAAUAAUAAUAAUAAUAAUAAUAAUAUUUUAAUAAAUAAAAUAAAAAAUAAUUUAUUUUCGAGAAAAUCAAAAAAAUCAAAAAUCUCCAUAUUUUCCCAAAAAAGCCAAAAAAAGUCAGAAAAAGCCAAAAAAUAUUUUAUACUUUCCCAAAAAUCCAAAAAAUGCCAGAAAGACUUGUAUUUUCUUUAAAAAAUACCAAAAAAAUCCAAAACAAAUCCCUUUUAUGUCCAAAAAAUGAGAAAAGGACCCAAAAAAUGUUUUUCCUCCACAAAAUGCAUGGAAAAUCUUUCAAGCAUUCAAAAAGCCUUAGGGUUUAAACAAGAUUAGGUAUCGAAAGAGCAUAAGUGAUUAACUAGUGUAAUCAAGUCCCCGAUCGUAAUUUCUCUAGUUGCGCAGGAGCAAGUAUUUCUCCCGAUACUUCACAUGGGUUUCUAAUCGACCCACCCCAAAUUGAUUAGUGGUGACUCCGUUUUAAAAAUUAACUUACAGAUUAAAAACUUAGACUAUUAAAGUCGUGAAUUGGUGGACUUGGGAGAGUCUAGGCCUAAUAAAUCAAACCAUUAGCCUCUGCAAGGCGCCUGCCCUUGAUCGGGCGCCGAAAAAGAAGAGGUCGCGACACCGAGCGGACCAUGAAACUAGCCGCCUCACACUUGCUCACCCCGGCUACAACAUGGCCAGAUAGAGAUAUUCAUACACACAAUCUAAAAAUGUCAAGUUUUGAUAAGAUGACUGAUUAAUAAACAUGGGAAUCCAUUAAGCUUACUAUGAACAUAGUAAACACGGGGAGCCCUUGUCACUUGACCAAAGUUAAAAGGCAUUGGACAAUGAAAGUUCAAAUAACAAAAGAUAAUGAGUGCUAGACACCCUAAGUAUCAAAUUUUGAUAUAGGUGAACACUUAAAUGUCAAAACUUCCAAAAAGUAUACUUAAAUGCAAAAAUUGAGAACAAAAGAAUACUUAAGUACCGAAGACGAGAAUUUCCAGCCAAAUUGCUAACGUGAUUUAUUUUGACAAAAUUUUUAUUGAUGUAACAAUUAUUUUAAAAAAAUUAUUCACGUGGCACUGAUAUGACUAGCUUAUCCCAAAACGACGUUGUUUUGGCCCCAAAUUUGAUUUUUAAUAAAUAUUAAUUAAAUUAAAUUAAAAAAAUUAAUUUUUUUUUAGGGGGGAUGACUAGAUUAGUGAGGGCCUUUACUGCCUCGCCAUUGCCGCCAUCUCACCAUCGCCAAAAAGGGCUAGCAACAAUGGGGCGAGUGUUGCCGCCCCUCCCUCAGAUCAGGCCAAGGAUUGCCGUUGACUAGGGCAAGGUCAAGCCCUUGCCUAGAUAUGGGACAAGGGGCCAACGACCUCUCCCGAUCUAGGGGUGGGUCGUCACCCGUCACCCUAGAUUUGGGCUAUCCUUAUCAUAGUGAAGCGGCCCCCAUUAUUGGUAUCAAACCAAUAUCGAUUCAUACAAGAUAAAUCUUCUAAUCGAUAAUUAGGCGAUGGCUUGUAGGCCCUCACCUACAGUUGAUUAGGGUCGCUGACCAUUAGCCGAGGCUCGGCGACCGUAGCAGACCAUCGCUCCAUCGUUGCCAGCCCUUUCUGACAAUGGAGGGGCGGCAGCAACGACGUGGGUCGUACAGGCCCUCAUUGAUUUGCUCCCCCUUUCUUUUUUUUGAUUUAAUUUAAUUUAAUAAAUAUUUAUAUUAAAAAUCAAAUUUGGGGACAAAACAACUUCGUUUUGGGAGAAGCUAAUCACAUCAACAUCACGUGGAUUUUUGGCUAGUCACGUGGACUAGUUUUAUUAUUAAAAUAAUGUCAAGUCGGAUUUUCGGCUAAUCUUAUUUUCGGCUAAUCUCGCCGAAGUUAGCACUUAAAUGUCCAAUUUUCUAAAAAAGUGACACUUAUGAAUACAUUUUGGAAGUUUUUACACUUGAGUGUCUAUCUGUGUCAUGUUUUGGCACUUACUGCAUACUUUUACCAAGGGAUAAUGGUUGGUAAUUUGUGUUUUCUUGCAUCAACUUUUAAGCAUAAGACAUGUUCGUCAACCCAAACAAAAGGGAGAAGCAAGAAAUAUAGAAUCUCACUUUCAUCUAACAUCUCGGGCUAGAAAUUAGGUGGAUGAACAAGCCUUUGAGUAUUAGGAUUUCGCACUUGUACGGUCCCUUUCAAGAGUUAAGAUCUUGAUACAAACAACUCGUUGGUGCAAGGACCGAACUGCUGCCUUCCGCUCAGGAUCAUUCACAAGAUUAGAGGAUGAACCAUCAUGGACCGAAAAUAACAGGGAAUCUAGACGAGAGGAAUUCCACAGAACCUACACGCGUGCAAUCUAUUUGUCAAGCUAUCCAAGCAAACAGAGAGAGAAUUAAACAUAAUAGAACUAAAAGAUUAAGAAAGUUUUAUGGCAGCAGCCUUCCUGCAGAAACAUGGAUAAAAUAAUUAAAACAGACUAAGAUUAUAAUAAAUAUGUGUGUUUGAUGUGUAAUAACUAUAUAGUAGAUAUUGUAUUAAUCUUCUUUAUCCGCCUCCUUUGAAAUAUUGAAAUUUUUAAAACCUAUCACGAAAAUAUAAUGGCGUCCUAAACUUUUAAUCUAUACAAUCAAAUCCUAAAGCUUAUUCGAUUUACGCAAUCAAGUAAAUUUGUUCCUCUAUUCAAUUUUUUAAUGUUUUGGGGUUACACUUGACAAAUGUUGCGACAACAACUAGGCGCUAGGGGUGAGCAUGGUUUUAGGUAAAAUCUGGAACUUGGUAACCGGAUCGGUGGAAAUAUGUAGGUUCCAGGUUCCAAGGUACACGGGGUAGGUUCCAAGUUCAAAAAAAUGAGAAACCUAUUUCGAUGAAUAGGUUCAAUGUUCUUAGCUGGAGGAAUCUAUAACUUAGAACCUGAACUUGGAACUUAGAACUUGGAAUAAGUUUUAAUAUUUUUCUUGAUCCAUGUCUCUGUGUGAUCCUCCGAUAUUUCAUGCUGUUCGAUGAUGAGUAUUUAAAUUGGAAACACUAGUUCAAGUUUCCAUUUUAUGAUUGAGAUUUUUAUUUUAUUAAUGUUCAUAUUUUUCUUGUAUUUAAAUAUAAAAUAUGAUUAGUGAAUUGUAGUCAUUUAAAUAAUAAUAUAGGUGGAAUCUGAGUAGAUCCUAUAAUCAACUCUGGAACCCGUGACAAAAUAGGCUACAUGUGCUAAAGUAUGUAUGAUAGGUUCCAAGUUCUAAAAAAUAAAGAACCUAUUCCAACAAAUAAGUUCUAAGUUCCAAGUAGAACCUGUAUGAAACCCGAAACCGCUCACUCUUACUAAGCGCUAUAUAAGAAAAUAUUGGAAAAUUAAAAAAAAAAAUGGGAUAAAUGUAUUGUAAGUCUUAAAACUUGUUACAAAAGUGCGAUUAAAUCAUUAAAUUUUCAAAAAGCGUAACUAAGUUCUAAAACUUGUUAUGAAAGUAUAAUUGUGUCUUAAAAAUUUCAAAAAAUACAAUUGAAUUUUAAAACUUGUCAUGAAAGUGCAAUUAAUUCUUACAACAUUUUAAAAGUGUAACUAGCCUAAAGACCUAAUCGAAUCAUUUUGACAAGUUUUAUGACUUGAUUGCACUUUUUGAAAGUUUUAGGAAUCAAUUGUAUUUUGAUGAUAAGUUUUUAGAUUUAGCUGCACUUUUUGAAAGUUUUAGGAUUCAACUGCAUUUUCAUGAUAAGUUUUAGAUUUUCCAGUGUACUUAUACUAAAGAAAUUAAGGGAUAAUACCACGAAAUAUCUCAAACUAGAAUUCGUGACUCAUUUACCCAACACUAAUUUUCCUAUCAUCAAAAAUCCUAAACUAAGACACUCAUGACAAAUUUACUUUUCGUUAAUUUCCAUCAGAUACCCUAAGUUGCUAACAUGGAAACAUGCAUAGCAAGCAACUUUUUGAUAUGGAGAGUUAGUAUAAAUGGUUUUUUAAACGACAUUCUUGUGGGGAAGUCGGAAACGUGGCAAGCGACUUGUCUGACGUGGAGAUUUAGCAUAAACGGUUCUUUGAACAACGUUAUUGUGGAGAGGUCAGAUUUGAAGAAAAUGGUCUGAGAUUGAGAAUUAGGGCAAAGUUGAGUCCUCCCUCCCUCUUUCCUUCCUUCCCUCCUAACUCACCAAAAUCUUAAGGCAAAAUUGGGACAAAACUAGGGAUUUCAGCAGAUAUCCGAAACAUGAGGGAGCUCUUGUCUAGAAGGGAAGCUGCUAGAGAUGGAGAUGGCAAUGCCACCGGGGACAAGGACGACGUGGAGUCGUGGCUCAGAUGCAGACGUGGUGGCGAGAAGAAUUAGGGUUUGUUUGCAAAUGGGGGCAUCAGGGCAUAUGCGCAAUUGAAAGUAUAUUGUCUUUCAGAUAAGUAUGGUUUGGUCUUUCUAAGUCCUGAAAUCUGAUCCUCAACGACAAACAUGUAUUACCAAAAUUAGAGGAUGCAAAGUGGUGAAGAUGUGAAAUGAAGAUGGUUUUAGUAUCUUCUCUUUGUAAAUUUCCUCCUACCUUUCAACCUUUUCUGUAAUUGGCCAGACGACAAUUUUCUACAUACUUAAAAAGUUGAAAAUCGAUGGCCAUCUUUUCAUUCUUUUUCACUGAAGAGUCAAUUCGCAUUCAUAAAUUUGAUGUUGAGGUUUUAUGGUGGUACAUAUCAACGUAUACAUCAUGCCUUAAUUCACUCUCUUUGACUUAGAUGGAACAUGACAUGAUACAUAUGGUUGUUUAACUAAUUCCGUCAAUUUUUCUAGGGGCUUGAAUCACAGCAUUCUCAUGCUUCCCGUGGGCUUAAUUCAUUCUCUGUCUAAUAUUGCUAGCAAGGGAAUUGAAUUAAAAAAAAAAAAGAAAAGACCCCCGACUAUCAGAUUUUGACAUUUUAAUUCUAUAGAUAAUUUCUUUUUGCAUGAAUUUAAAUUGACACCUUCAAAUAAGGAAUUAAGUAUUAACAAUUUCAAUGGUUGAAGAAAAGUUCAUUCCGUUGAUUAUGAUGGUGAUAGUAAAAUUGAGUCCCAAUUUUAGCAAUGAUAAUGUAGAAAAUAGAUGGUCAUGUAACAUAUGGACAUAAAUUAAUUGCUAGCUUAUGUAUGCCACUCAGUUUGAACGUCAUUCACCAAUAAAGAACAGCCCGGCCUCGAAAAAUAAAUAAAAAAACAAAAAAAGGAGUAUUACUUGAUGAUGUUCUACGAGAAGGGAUGGACGAACUCAGUGAGAUAUUAAUAGAGCACUCUAUUUUGCUUGUGAAAUUAAUCGGAUAUUCAAAAAAUCAAAACACAAAAUUCACUAUGCAAAGAAAGUCACCGGUGCAAGUGAAAACGGAAGAGAAAAUUCAAGUUUGUGACAAAGAUUCCUUCACGAGUUCAAGUUCACAUUCACUUUGUGUCAAAACUCCCAAAAAUAAAAUAAAAAAUAAAUAAAAGAUGCCAUUUCCUUGGCAUUUCACACCCCCGAUUCGGCUAGGAUAGCUUGGUUCGGCGGAAGACUUAUUAAACUAUGUUAAUUUGGCUUGGCUUGAGCACUUGGAAUGAGCCUCCUCCAGCGGCUCACUUCCCAAUUCUCUGUAUACUUAAUAUGUAACAGAUGAUAUAUUAAUAUUAUAAAGAAAGAAAUACAGAUAAUAAAUGAUUAGUGUCUACUGUAUGUACUUAUUUUCCAACUUAAAUUUAAUUAAGGAUGUGUUUGUUUCAUGAAAAGAAAUUUCCAAAAAAUACGAUCGUUUGUAUUACCUAAAAAAUGAAUGAAUGAAAUUUUUUUUCAUCAUUGAUCAAAAUAGUUAGACAUAAACCCUUUUUUAUUUGCGAAUUGAGUUAGAAGUUAAUUCUAAGGACCACUGACUCUCUCUCCCUUUCCACGAUUGAGGUCGAGUUUAACAUCAAGCAAGGCAACAAGGCUAAGGUGCGGACAACAACCGUGGAGAGAGAUCUAGGGAGCGAAGUCAAAAGAGAGAUGCGUCAUGGAGACUCUAAGCAAGGGCAGACGAGAUAGCAACAAAGCCGAUGAUAAUUGCAACUGCAAGCGGACGAGUGCUAACAUUAACAACGAUGUUUGGGGGUAGAGAAAGGUGGCGACUCCAGGCCGAUUAGGUUGCGAGAGAGCGAUCAGGGAAUUUUUGAGGAUAUGAAUUUUCUAAAUUUGAGAACUAGAGUUUCAUAUGCGGUUUCAGCAUGAUAACUUAAUGUACAAUUUAUUCAACAGGGUAAAUUGACGUUAAAUGCAGCCCAAGUGUAGACUAUGUUCAAGAAUCAAACGCGCUAUUACCUAGAUUGUAUCUACUAAUCACAAACUUUUGUGCAACUUCCUCAUCUGAUCUCAAAUCAACGUUUUAGAUUCGAGCUCCUCCUCCUCCCCCAGUAAAACAUCACUUGAUUUUCAUUAUUAUAUAAGAUUUUGAAGAUAGACAAGGGGGCUUGAGCUUCAAGCUUCGUUAGGAGCUGAGCCGUCGACGUUGUCACCAUGUCAUUUCAUUUUGGUCCCCAUCGUCCUACGAGUCACCUCUCUCUCUCUCUCUCUCUCUCUCUCUCUAUCCUUGUGUUCUUUGCUUACUCUUUCUCCAUCUUUAUCCUCUCUUUAACCAAGUCAUGAACAUUGACCUUUCUCUUCUUCUCCUUGUCACCCAAACACGCAUAUAUAUCCACAGACGCACACACUCACCAAAACAAAGCACAAUAACUCGUUCAACAUCGCUUCAAUCUUCUCUCACCAGAAGCUGACAUUCUGCUGGCAUUCCAAGAAUGGGAAACUGUUGCAGAGCUGAAUCUUCAUCAUCAACGAUCUGGGCCGGCGAUGACUGGAACUCGCUGCCUUGUGAUGGAGAAGGCAAGAAGAGGCUUCUUGAUGAUGCUGAUGGAAAGAAAGUUUCUUCUUCUUCUUCUUCACGCAGGAGAGAGAUCAAGAUCCAGAUCAGUAAGGAGGAGC
rnacentral:lncRNA from 1 species